rnacentral:lncRNA from 1 species
UCUUUUCCAUUUACUCCAAUCACAGCAGAGUCCAUUUUGCUAUUAGCACUCCUCUUAUCUGAAACAGUCUUACUCUUCUUGCUCGAACUCGGAGUUAACUUCUCCCCUUCACCAGUUUUCCUCUUCCUCGCCACCACCUUGCUCCCACUCACUUUCCGACUUUUAGGUCCAACAACAUCAUCGUCUUCUUCCUCAAUCUCCAAAUCCAUAUCCUCGGAAGCAUCCUCACCUUCAGAAACUUGUUUAGCUGCAUCCUUUCCCCAAUCUUCAUCCUCAGAAUCAUCCUCAACACUCUUUAAAUCCUCCAAUUUCUCCUCCUCCUCCUCCUUCUCUUCCACCACGGAAGACCUCCGCAACCGCCUCAACUUCCUCACAGGUGCCUUCACCCAUUCAAUUUUUUCUUCAGAUAAAUCAAUCAUUUCCUCAUCACCGUCAUCAUACUUAACCAAAUGCUCACCAGAACUACUGUCAAAAGACUUCACACAGCCUUCAUACCAUAUUUUAUCCAACGGCCAGUAAACCUUAACUCUUUUGUCCACUACCUCUUGUCCAUAUGAUGGCUUAAGGUCAACAAUGGCUGAAAUAGGCACAGUAAUCUUCCGCUUUGCGUUUAGAGGAGAAGGAGUCGUAGGACUAGCACAAGGACUGGUACUAGGACUAAGAUUAGGUUUACGUUUAGUAUUAGGGUUAGGGUUAGAUUUUUCUGGAAUUUGUUUGGGGAGAAGAGGUGAAGGAGAAGGAGACGAGAGGGUUUUGGAGAAGAAAGAAGUGAUUUGGCUCUGUUGAUUGACUAGCGGUGAUCUGCCAUUGCUGGAGCGGCGAGAAGAAGCCAUUUGUGGCAAUGUAGAAGCAAAUAGUGGAAUGAGUGAGAAGAGUAAUGAAAUGUACUAUAUCUAUAUAUAUGUAUUGCUUCUCCCAAUGGCGGGAAGAGUGAACGUUGAGUGCCACAGUUGGCGGGAAGCUUCUCUAAGCCCUUCUUACUGCUUCAUUAGAGACUGCAUAUGUUUUUGUUUUUUUUGAGGGAAAGGUUUAGUCAUUCUUAUAGUGUCUUGCUUUUGUUUAUUGUAUAUAGAUCAUUGCGUUUGGAUCAUAUUUUACUGGAGUUGUGACACAUUCUUUAUGAAGAAUGUGACACGAAUUGAAUUAAUGGACUUCAAAUACAAAUACAAGAUAUUGAAUGAAAAAUAAAAUAAAAAUACAUCCAAGGAAGAGGUCACCAUUAGCUCCAUUUUUUUUUGAAAAAUCGCUUGGGGUUCAUUUGGUUUGCAAAUAAGUUAAAUCGUGUCUAUAAUAUGACGAUUUAAAUUUUAAUGAUUAAAAAAAAUAAAAUAGUAAGCUUCUUUUAAAAAUAAAAUAGUUUGAUCAUUAUAUUAAAAAUGAAAAUGUGUGUAAAAUGUGUGUAUGAUUUUAUAUAUAUAACAUAUAAAAGAUACCUUUUAGAAUUAAAAAAAGACUUGGAAUUAUUAGCCUUUAAAGGACUUGGGAAAAGAUCUAUGGAGAAAGGUAAGUCAUUUGAUUAGUUUGUCACGGGAUAGUUAAUUACAAGAUUAAUUUUUUAUAUUAAUGUUGUAUAAAAUUGAAAUCAAAAUAGUGGUAAGACUACUAACGGAAUUGCUCAUAUCAAAAAUAAAUAUUCAACUAGACACGGGAUUAUUUCCAUCCAAUGAGUUAAUGCAUAGAUUGAAAAAAAUAUGCUAAACAAGGAAUUAGUAAUACCAGAACUAAUACAAGCAUUAUUUUCUCUUGUUGCUGGGCUUGUAUGUAAUGGAUUAAGCUGUGCUUACAUUCAAUUUUCAUUCAGGAAGUUUGGCUAUUCGAAUCGAAACAACAAAGGACUGACUGAAUCUCAAAGUAUAGUAAAAGUAAACCAAAUAAUCCUGUUUUCUGAGUAACAUUCUCGGGAAGAAACAUGCAAAAAAAAAAAAAAAAAAAAGAAUGCCCCCUCUCUGUAUCUCCACAGGGUAUUUCUACUUGGUGUAAACUGUACUCCAAACCCCCCAAAAUAAUACAACAGACAACUCUAGACUCAGAGACCAACCAUUUCCAGAGCACAAGCACUGAAGAUCCAUUCCACAAAAUUGGAUCCGCCAGGCAGUUGGAAGAAGGAAAGAAAACUAAUAAGCUAAGGAGAAGCAUGCCCUCAUAAAUUUGAUAAUUUCUUGGUAAACCAAUCUGAAAGACACUUCAUUUUCAGUGAAAGCUCUCUGUUUUUGGCAAAGUAAGCCUCACCAUUUGCUAUCAUCACAGAGAAAUCAUGCUUCAUUGCUUUCAAGCUUCUAUAAUAGUUGUUCUCUAACCUUAACCGGAUUAUUUCAGGUGAUAGAGGAACAGGGAACCUGCAAAGAGCAAAUCAUUUAUCGUGUUGGGUCCAUUAAUAAUUGUGCAUGCCAAGCGAAAAAGUUAUUAUAACAAAACACCCNNNNNNNNNNNNNNNNNNNNNNNNNNNNNNNNNNNNNNNNNNNNNNNNNNNNNNNNNNNNNNNNNNNNNNNNNNNNNNNNNNNNNNNNNNNNNNNNNNNNNNNNNNNNNNNNNNNNNNNNNNNNNNNNNNNNNNNNNNNNNNNNNNNNNNNNNNNNNNNNNNNNNNNNNNNNNNNNNNNNNNNNNNNNNNNNNNNNNNNNNNNNNNNNNNNNNNNNNNNNNNNNNNNNNNNNNNNNNNNNNNNNNNNNNNNNNNNNNNNNNNNNNNNNNNNNNNNNNNNNNNNNNNNNNNNNNNNNNNNNNNNNNNNNNNNNNNNNNNNNNNNNNNNNNNNNNNNNNNNNNNNNNNNNNNNNNNNNNNNNNNNNNNNNNNNNNNNNNNNNNNNNNNNNNNNNNNNNNNNNNNNNNNNNNNNNNNNNNNNNNNNNNNNNNNNNNNNNNNNNNNNNNNNNNNNNNNNNNNNNNNNNNNNNNNNNNNNNNNNNNNNNNNNNNNNNNNNNNNNNNNNNNNNNNNNNNNNNNNNNNNNNNNNNNNNNNNNNNNNNNNNNNNNNNNNNNNNNNNNNNNNNNNNNNNNNNNNNNNNNNNNNNNNNNNNNNNNNNGCCCCCCCCAUAAAAAAAAAAAGGAGGAGGAAAUUGAAACCCCUGCAAAGUAUAAAGAUUAAUUUAAAAAGAGUACCUAUUCAUGAAGUCCAGUUUCACAGCAACAUGUUUCAAUUUUAGAAUCCCAAAGUUAUCCUGUAACAUGCAUAACAGGGUCAAUUCUGAUGCUUUGACCUACAAAGUUCAAUUGUUAAUUUAAGGCUAGACAAUUUAAAAGAUUGAAACCUGAUUUCUGCUUGCUGACUGCAGUAGUUCAGUGACAGAUGACAACACUCUAUUUUUGCUUUCCAAGUCAAGUUGAGGUUGCUCCCAUGAACUAUCUACAUCAUGUAGUUCCCAGGGACUCUGAGGAUGGGGUUCUACUUCACCUUCGUAUAGGAUACCACAUCUUUCCCAUGGACUGUCAGGAAACUGGUCAGACUUGGCUUUCACUGAAACUACCUCACCUACCCACCACUUACCACCUUGCUCACUCUCAUCCUUCCACCAAACCAGACACUUAUCUCCAUACGACCAAUUUCUCUCCAUUGCAGUCUCAUACCUUGGUCUCUCAAUUAGAAAGUCAGGGAAGUUGACUAGUUCGGGAAGUGUAAGCUUAAACUUCUGUCCAGAGACAGGGGAAGAGGAAUCUAUGAAUUGAAGUGUAACUUUACAGCAGCUCUCACCAGAGCCAGGAAGAGUUGCAUAUGAAAGAUGUUUUACCAAGCAAAUUUCCACAGCUUGGACUGCAGCUGCAUUCUUUGUCCAAGGACCAGGCUCUGAUGAAUCACUAUAUUCUAUAUAUUCUUGAUGCCCCUAAUGUCAAGAAAUACCAAGUGUAAAUCAAAUAAAUCUUAAUGACUCGAUUUGGAAAUCACUAAUGCAACAAAGAAAAUAUUACAUGAAAAAACAAAAUGUGAUAAAAGGAAAGAAGAGGCAAUGAUUAACCAAUAGAAACUAAAUAAUGCACCUGUCGGAAGUACACUACUUCAUCACCUAGCUGAGGAAUGUAGCGGUAACCCUCUUCACGCUCUGACAAUAGCAACCAAUUCAGUUUUUUCACUGCCUCAUUCGAGCUCAUUCCAGAUGAAAAAACAUUUUCAUCCCUGGAAGAACCCUCUUUAGUGUUUCUAGAUGACCGGCACUUGAACACAUUACUUGAAGUCCAUCCUAAUGGCGGAGAACCAGUAGCCUUCUUGGUUAGCUUUUCGGUGUUUCUUGAUGAACCUACAGCUACAUGGCUCUCUCUUAUUUUUAGGUCAUCUUUCCCGAAUGCUGCGUCUCUUGACAUUGCAGUAAAUCUUAAGGAUCUCUUUCUACGUGCUGCAUCAGUUGCGGCAUGAGGGAAUUCAGAACCUGUUUCGUUAUGAUCAUUACAAGCAUUAGAAGCACUUUCACAAAUAUCAUGACUGCUACGUAAACCGCUUCUAGAUCCAUGAGACUUGUUUCUGCCAACAGAAUCAUCCAUCAGUACACCCCAAUGCAAAUUCUGACUGAAUCUAUCAGGGCCAUUACCUGUUUCUGGAACUUGGUUUUGUUCCAAAUGGGAAAAGAUUUUAGAUGUUGAUUCAUCUCCACAAUAAGCAUCUGUAGGAGGAUUAAACUCAGAAUGAGUUUGAGACUCCCUGGACAUUUUCUUUGAUUUUAUCUUUAUUAUGGUUGGCUUCACUCUAGGUUUGAGGUUUACUUCAGGAUUGUCAUCGGUGGUAGUCAACUUGUUUGCACCAGGACCAACACCUAUUUGCUGCAGCUGAUGACUGGGUGAUGAUGACAAGUGCAAUAAUGAAGAACUUUUAGCAACUCCUGAGAAACACAGUACAUCUCCAGGACCAUUUCCAGCCAGCAAACUGCUAGCUUCAGAUUGUCCCAGAUUCGUUUGAGCCUCAGCCAUUAAAUUAUCGGCCAGAGCCAGAUUUUGGAUAUCUGGACCAGCAGAAGGUUUUCUAUCGACUUGCUCAUUUAAAACAUCUUUGGGUUCCUUGUCAUUAACCAUAUGUUCAGUUUUACUGUAUUUCCCAAACAGCUUCAUGCCAAUCUUGUCUGCAGAGGAUGAUCCUGGCUCCUUUAACCUUAGGUUAACCACAUUAUCUUCAAUUAUCUCUUCACCAGCUUGAGAAGAACAUGGCUUAUCAGCUUGAUCACCACACUGAGCUGCAGUGUCUUUUGAUAGCUCAAGCUUAUUAGCAUCACGGAUUUUCAAUUUCAGGACUAAUCUCCUUUUGUUCUCGCCGUUUGUCGGAGGUUCAGUGGAUUUAGGAGGCACAUCGAUAGCUCCACCUGUUGGAUAGCUCCGCGGUGUGCUUGUCAGUUUGUCAUCUGAUGCAAUAUUCUGAUCGCUUGACCAACAUUCUAAUGAUUCAGUUUCCAAUGAAUCAUCCUCAGAGCUAGCUUCAUCUUCAUCAUCUGAAGAAAUGUCAUAUUGCUGAUAUACAAUUUCAGGAUGUGCAGCUCCACGGUGAGAUCUGAAUGACUUUGGUUUAGAUGACUUCCUUUUAGUGGUAGCUUUCUGCCCAUUUCUUGAUUUCCUAGUUCUAAGACUUCUACAUGAAGUGCCAACAUCAUCAUCCUUAACUUUCUUCCUAAGACGCCUUCCAGAUGAUGCGACUUCCACCUGAAAAAGAUGCAAAUGUUGCUCAGCCAGGGUAAGCAAAUAGGUAAUUUGUUUGUGAAUGUAGAUGCUUACUUCUGAUACAGAUAUUUUCCUUUUUGAUCUGCGUAGGCUAUCUUUCCGACUCCGUCUCAUCUUCUGUUCUUCACUACAUACUGAACCACUAGAAGAGCCGUCUCUUAAACAUUCACGCUCUCCUUCAGCAGAAAGCUCUUCAUUCAUAUUAUAUUCUGAAUCAGUCUCAUCAUUCAGAAUAACAUUAUCUGGCUCCCAGAAAAGGGUAUCCACAAACUCCGGCAGUGGUUCAGCUAUUAUGUCCAAGUCAGCCACUGGUAAAACCUGGUAUCCUAAACCCAAACCACCGUCUGUGCCUACAGAAAAUUUAAUUGAAGAAGGACGCCACUCGGUACCCAGAGCUCCUAGGCGGCGGCGCUGGUACGUACUCUGAUAUGGUUCAGGAUAUGGAAGCAUACCUAGUAUUCCCAUUAUCCAUGUUUGGAAGAAAAAAAACAUUUAUUACCAUCUUCUUGAAACUGACCAAAAAAGAAAAAAGAACGAAUGACGAAAGCAACGAAUAUCUACUUGCAUCACAAAGAAGAUCUUGCAUGUUCCUCCGAUAUGGAGCUAACUGUGUCUCCUGCAACAGGUAAAAAAUGCCUGUUGUUCAUAACUUAAAAAAACUUGGAAAACUUAUACAAGAUGGAACAGCUGUAGGUAGCUGACAGAUGGGCCCAUCCAUGUAUUACCCAGAUAAGUUUGAUAUGAAAUUUCUCAAGUAGUAAAAACAAAUGAUAGAACUUAAAAGUGGUAAAGAAUAAAUCUUUUAACUCUCUUCAUCACAAAAACAUGACCUAAUUCUUUUUAUUUUUUGCAUGACCUACUUUAACUAUAGAGAUUAACAGUAAUUUUUUUGGAAAGAUAACUAAACGGAUUUAGAUACAGUGUAACAGUUCAAACUUGGAUUAAUCAUUUGAAAAGAUUUCAUACAAAGUCUUAAAUAAUGUCAAUGAUAUUAUUUUUAAUGGGAUGGGUGGAAAAAAGAAUGACAUCAAGGAAAUAAAUUUUGGAAAGGACAAAAAAGAAAAAUGUGUCAUAAUCCUGAAUUGACGGAGUGAACUAGUAUGUCAAAACUAAAGGUACCUGAUCAAUAACAUUCCCCUGCGCAUCCUGGAUAAGGGGCCGGUAAUCCCCAAGGAAGAACUGUUGAAAGUUAUAGCCUCAAUAUCGCAUACAGUAACUGUAAACUACUUAAAACAAUGAUGAGAAUGAAAGAAACCGCCUCAUAUACCUGAUCAUAUUUAGCAUCCUUUUGAGACUCGCCUUGGCCUGUAUUUAAUAAAUAUAUUUGUCCAACAUCAUCAGAAAGAACAAUUGAUGUUCCAUCCCUUUUCACAAAGAAACAGCACAUCCAACACAAUAAGUAACUUCGACAUUUCAAAUAAAGCAAAGAGCAUUUGCACCAGUUAGCAAAUCUAAUGGGAAAUGGAACUGAAUGAGUAAUUAAUUCUGAAGCCAUGAUAGGAUUGGUGUUCUUCUAUGACCCCAAAUCAGGAAGCUCUGAUGAUGUCUAAAAUUUGAAGUACAUUAAGGAAUCACCAUUUAUAUACAAACUUACUUUAUAAGUCAAAUAUCAAAGAUACAGGAAAUAUUAUGAUGUCCUCUUUAAAUUACUUACUGUGAAAACUUUCCAUCAACCAACUUAAAGCGUCCUAUAUCAUAUGUGCGGAUGGGGAUCCCCUCCCAUAUCUGGAGAUAGAAAUAGCAAGAGUGAAACAAAUGGAAAUACCUGUGUAAAAGGAUGUGAUACAAUAAUCAAAAGAACCAGAAACCUACAUCCCACAGGAUGGUAUUCCCAUCAUAACCAGCACUCAUUGCGAUUCUGGGGUUGAAAGGAUGAACAUCCAGAACAUAUGUCUGCAAGAGUCGAACACAAAGUGUCAAUUACACCAGAUAUAAGUUUUUCAAUAGGUGUGGAUGGAGUGAAGGGGUGGAGGAGUCAUAUCAAGAAUAGUACCGGAAUUGAAUGACUAACAUUUUUUAAAGUUUAUUAUGACCAAGAAAGUGAAAAUAAACCACCCUAAAGAAUUGCAUGACUCUUUUAUAGUGCCUGACCAAGAAAUUAGGCAAUGGUGGAAGCAAGAGAGAAAGAAAUAACCAGUGAACACAUGCAACGAAAUGGAGCGCAAGUGGAAGUUUCUCAAAAAUAUCUAACCAAGAUGACACAUGAAAACAUAUAACCAGCCUAAGCAAGCAUUUUGAAAAAAAAAAACUCAGAAAUAUCAGCCUAAUCAUAGUCAGAUAACUUACAGACUGUGCGUGACCAGUCAAGGAGUGCACCAAGCUACCAUCACUAGCAUUCCAAACACAAAUUCGGCAAUCUGCAUAAGUUCACCUUAUGAGUUGAAAAUUUCAAAUUCAAGCACCAUAAUUUCUCUGCUUCAACAAAAGGAACAUAAUUUGAAUUCAGUCAUUCACAACCCCAAAUGGGAGUAUUUUCCUUUCUAACAGGAACCAAGAAGACCUGGAUUUCAAAACCCACAAAGUUGGAGUUUGACACUCAACGAGUAGGAAGAACAUGAACCAAUUUUGUGUUGUUAGCCUUGCAGGUGCUUAGGAAAUAUUCGCACUUCUACGUGUCCAGUUUGCCAGGAAUUGACUAGUCGCACACAUGGGAAAACAAGAAAAACACAAGAUCCAUUCAGAUAUGACUGGACCCUCGGCAAUCGAGGAACUGGGUAAGAUUCACCGGCCACUAGACAUAGCACAUAAGUUAACAGUAGCAUGAAUGGAACAGGAACUAUUCAACCAAGUUUCCCUGCAUGUGGCUCAUCCAUGAUAAUUUCUUUGGAAUUGUGUGAACUAGCGGACAAUCACUAAGUGGGGAUGCUCCCUCCAGCAUGAGCAAACCCUUUUGGAACUGGGAGCCACUACCCCAGCCCGGAUGACUCUCAGAGUAAACUCUUACAGAGAUGCUUCCUAGCUCCUACAGAGAGUAAACUGUUAAGUCAAUCUACAACUUCUAAGCCAUGUUAGAUUCGUGCUAUACUUAAUAGCUCAUGAGGAAUAACCCUCCAUAAGGCACCCCAAUUAUUCUCAGCUCACACCAUUUUCUACUUGCAGUAGAAAAUAAGUUUCCUAAGCAUUUCUUUUCAAAACUUUCACAUGACUGCAUUAUUUCUUUUUUUCUUUCAACCAUGGCUGCAUUACCCUGAUGGGGGUAAACUUAAGCCCAUGCCAGGCACCAACAUGUCUUAGAAUAGUAUCAACUUGACAUCGGUUUCCUAUGUUUAAAUAUCUUGAAACUACCUCAAAUGCACUUUAAUUACAAUUUACCAACCAAAUAUUCCAACAACUUAUUACCAAUUCCAACACAGACUUCUCUGGAUGCAAACCAGAAAAAAGAUUUAACAUGAAGUUGAAGGUCAUUAUACAGUAGUUACGACAUACUUGCUAGAACUAAAAGUUCGAUAGGGUGCAUGAAAAAAGGGAAAAAUUUGGGCUUUAAAGGCAACAAUAAAUCUGUAACGUAAGAAAAUAUCCAUACCACCUGUAUUCGCUGUCAAUAUCAUCCUGAUAUAAUUUGGUUCCAUUAUAACAUAAAUAAAAUUUAUUUAUUAACUCAUUAUCAGCAUGAAUUAUUCACUACUGUCAUGAGAAACGCCUACUAACCAGGCUUGUGAAUGUGUGUCAUGCCUGUUGAGCAUCAUCUUUAAUUACUGUAUAGUAGGUCAACAACAAGAUGUUUCAAUUUCCAAACUAUUAUGGGCAAGAAAUGAAACUGUCAUCCCAUAAUCAUAUUUAAAAUAGUUUUAACCAAAUAAAAGUACAAAUUAAUGCAUUUGAACUAAAUAUGCAAUUAAGAUAAAAUACCCAUGAUAGCAGCCAGUACAAAGCGAUUAUCCAGGCUCCAGACUAUCAUGUUAACACCGCGAGGAGUAGGGCGAAAUCUCUGCCGUGGCCCUCCUCGAGGAGGCUGUGGUGGCAUUGGUGGCGGAGGAACUUUAAGAUGAUAUGCCUUACCCCAAGAACGUCCAUGUUUUCCCUGAACAGAGUAGAACAUUAUAGUCUGAAAGAACCAGCACAGAGAAAUGUCUCAAUACUGUAGGUCAGUUAGACUUGGUCCCAAUUUACAGAUGUAACGGUGUGAUGAAUUAGUGUCUAACACCUCAAGUAAAGCAGAGCAUACUUCUGUAGUAUCCCUCUAAAAACAUACAGGCAUAAGUUUGUGCAUGUAUUCAUUCUCUUAUUUCUCACAAAAAGAAACCAAAUUUUGAAGUCAAGAACUUACAUGGGACGACUUGCGUGGUUUUGGGGUCCAAAUAAUUGCACUUCCGUCACGGGAACAAGUGACAAUGUUGUCAUGGCUAAACCUGAAAAUUGUGUUUUAACAAGCAUGAUCAUUUACGCAAGUUAACACAACUUUAUCCAUCAAACAGGUUGACCAACCAAACUCUCCUUUAUGUUCAACCAUGAUUAACUAUAGCUGAUAAGAAGGAUACAGUGCAAUUUAAAUUUUUUAUUGGUAUUAGGACCAUUUGAAAUAAUUGGAACAAAGAAAAAAGAUGUUCACAAACCAAGAAUUCCUAAAUUUAGGAAUGCAGUCCUCCACAAUGGAAUCAGAAGUUGAAGAUCGUGAAGCAACUGCACAGCCACUGCACAAAAGAAUAGAAGGUGAGAUAAUGAUGAACACGUUUAAGGGUGACAACAUGACUGCACCAACCUGAACUGUACAUAGUUGACAUCAUUUUCGUGACCAGAUAAUGUAUCUAUUUCAUGAUUUAGCUCCUCGGGGUGAUCUGGGGAGAAUUUACAAGCACUCCAGACCUGAAGACGGAUAAUGUUUGUGAUUCCAUACAAUCUCAUCAUCCCAUUAACAGAAAAUACACUGAAAAGUCAAAAUGCACCAAAAACUUUCACAUUCUUAACAUUUCUUGCAUACUUCAUACGGUAAACUCUAUGUUUAACCGUUACUGGAAAUUUCUUAUUGUUAGGUUGUCAAACAUGUGUUAUGCCAUAAGUAAGCUAAACAUUAAUUAGAGGACUUUGAUAAAGAAGCUCAGAACAUCUCUUGUAUCAGUCCGAUCCUAAGAAGACUGAUACAAUAUUACCUUACCAAAAAAAAGGUAAACUAUGCUAAGAGCUUAUUGACAGGAAACAAAAAAAUCUCAUAUCCCUGCUAUCUUAUAAUGAAGAUUUGACAAUGUUAUAAUAGAGCAUAACGUUUGAUGCUUGUUCAUACCCUUGCUAAAGUAUCAGAGCUGCCAGUGACAAAGACAGUUCCAUUGGCAUUGUAUGCACAACACAAAAUUUGAUGGCUAUGCGAUGUAUUACUUGAGGACUGAAGGUUGGUUACUGCGGUACCACUGCUCCUCACUGCAUAAAAAAUAAAAUCCACACAGAGACUCGCCAACUAACAGCACGAACAUUAUCAGACAAAUAACUUGUUCUCAGCUAACCUGAAACGUUAUCCUUUGGUCUUGGCGAGUAAACGCGUGGAACACAUUGAGAAGACCUAGCAUCCCAAAUGCGACAAGUUCCAUCAUCUGAUGACCUACCAGUAGGAAAAAAAAACCCGAGGGAAGGAAGUCACACAUUUAUAAAGCAAGUUACCAUAAACCCCAUAAUACUUAGCAAGAAACUUUAACAGACACGAAAAUAGAUAAAAAUGAUUUCUGUUAAUUGUACAACCUAGUGUAAAAUCUUUACUAGGUUUCUUGUAUUUUAACCCUCUUUAUUCUUUGUACACCUUAGUCUAAGGCUUCCAUAUCUUCAUCUAAUGCUUUGAGUUGGCCACUAACUCAAAGGAAGUUUUAUAGAGGAAUUAAAAAAUAAAUUAUAAGAAAAAACUUAGUACAUUUAUCUUUUGCUUUAAGCCUUUAACAUAAAUAUAAAAACAUGCACGACCAGCACACAACUUCACAUAAUAUGUUCAAGAGUCUCUUAAAACGAAAAAUUGUGAUGUAAGAUUUCCACUAUUAUGAAGAGCAAACAGCUAUAUAUAGUGGCAGUAUACCAUAACCAGACAAGAGCACAAUUUUGUGUAAUAUUUUAGGAGCCAUUUGCGAUCAAUUGAAACCUGUGUAUAGGUGUCUCUAUAAUUAUCGAAUAUACAAAGUACCACAUGGUAAAAGAGGAAAUAAGGUAAUGACUACAAGACCUUGCUGUGGAGCAUAUUCGGAGUGGAAAGGAUGAGCCUGCGGGAGGUGCUUAUAGGAUCUAACACCUGAAGGAAGAGAAGGAGAAGUAGAGCAAGCGAAGUAGCUCCUUUUUUGCUUUCCACAUAAGUGAACGUAAAAGUGAGAAACGGGAGAGCAUCUGAAGAAGUAGAAUACUCUUUUGUAUAGAUAUUUUGAUGAAGUAUUCAAAAAUGUAGAGGCAUCUGAAUGCACAAGGAUAAUUGCAGAUAGUCCUUGUGCCAGAAUCUUCUCCACAUUUCAUUCUUGGAUAUAGAUUAGUGGAACAUUUUUAUUUUUGCAUAUUUUUGGAGUGUUGUUGAUAAUCAAGUCAUUGUUGAUUCUUUUUCAUGCAGUUAUUGCUGAUGACUAGAUGAAUUUGUAGUGAAUCAUGAUUUGUUGUAAGAUUCUCUACCUUUUGUACACACCUCGUAAGCAGUAUUUGCCAUCACAUCACUAAAAUUUGAACUAUAAUCUCAUAGAACAGGGACAACAAAAGAAUAUAAAACCACUCACAAAAAGAACAAUAAAUUUAAAUCCUAGAAUUACUAGCUUACUAAUAUACUAUAGGUACAGAGCACCUAGUUCCCAUCAAAUUACAAGUAUGGAUUAGACCACAAAUUUUCCUUCAAUUUCUUCUGCUAUCAUGUUAGCUUCUUCAAUGAUAUUACUCCCUCCCUCCAAAAUACAUGGCCUAAUUUGAUCCAAUGUAGAGAUCUCAAGAAAAUGUUUGAAAAGAUUAUUAAACCAGUGUAUCAAAUAAUGGUCCUUAAAAAUUGUUUGAAAUGUGAAAAAACUAAAAGGUGAAGCAAUUAAAAAUAAAAAAAGGUCAGCAUAGGCCUGUUGUUUUUCCACUUAUCUUUUUUUUUUUAUAAUGAUGGUGUCCCAUCUUGCACGCACCUCGACUAUUCUACCAAGUACCUGCUACCUCACAUCAGCAUAGGUUGUACCAGAUAGAUCUGUCCACCACGAUUACAGAUGUGAAGAAACACAUUUUAUGGUUUUCGUUCUCCACUAUCUAUAGACUUCAAAGAUAUCCCAACUAAAGGUCAUGAUCAAAUAUCUUUAGCCCAACUCUCAGAACAAGAUACAUAUUGGGAGAUUAUUGACUGCAUUAGACUGUGUACCAAUGACAAGGAACCUGGUCCUGAUGGGUUUCCAAUGAGCUUCUACCAAUCCUUUUGGGAUCUGGUCAAGUUAGAUAUCAUGAAUACCUUACAUCACUUCCAUUCUCAUCCUGUGUGUGAAAAGAGCUUUAAUGCUACUUAGAGGGUGUUAGGAUUAACUUCUCUUAAGUGUUUUUGGGCUUUUAAGCUCUUUUCUUAUUUUUUGUGGUGUUUGGGAAAGAUAAAAAGUGCUUUUAAGCACAUACUUUUAGGUCAAAAAGUAUAAAAUUAAGCUAAAAGACAAAAAUUGGAUAUUCUGAGCUGAUGGUUUUUAGCUUUUAGCAUAUAAGCUACUUUUAAAAAGUUAAUCCAAACACCCUCUUACAUUCCCCUCAUACCUAAGAAGAUAGGAGCUUCAGAACUCAGGGACUUCAAACCUAUUAGCCUCGUAAGUGGAGUCCCAAAGAUCAUUGCUAAAUUAUUGGCAGAAAGAUUGAAAAAAGCAGUGUGUAAACAGGUUAACAACCAUCAGAUGGCAUUCUUCAAAGAAAGACAGAUUACAUAUACUCCUCUUAUAGGUGUUAUGAGCAAAGUAGACAUAGAAAAGGCUUUUGACCAUGUCAACUGGGAUUCUCAAACAGAUGGGCUUUGGUGUGAGGUGGUUGAAAUGGAUUGGACUUUGUAUCAAAAUAGCCAGGUUCCCGAUUCUGGUAAAUGGAGAACCUAUUGGUUUUUUUCCUUCUUAAAGAGGCCUGAGACAAGGUGACCCUCUUUCACCUUUCCUUUUCACUAUUGACAUGGAAGGCUUCAACAGCAUGAUGAGAAUUGCAGUCCAGAAGAGAUGGGUGAAUGGCUUCGGGAUAGGCAACAGGUUGGGUGAAGACAUGGAAAUUUGUCACUUACUCUAUGUUGAUGACACUGUCAUCUUCUGUGAUGUUGCAUUUGAACAAAAUUGCUAUAUCAGGAUGAUUCUCUUAGCAUUUGAGGCUACUUUUGGACUGUGUGUAAAUUCGAGAACGAGCAGCUCAUUCCCUACCAAUGAGGUGACACAUAUGGAGGGACUGGUUAGCAUUCUGGGAUGCAGGAUAGAUCAUGACUUACCAACAACCUACUUGGGCAUGCCUUUGGGCACAAGGAGUUGGAAAUAUGGGACAGGAUAGUGGGAAAAAUAGAGAAGAAGCUCUCAAAAUGGAAAUUGCAAUACCUUUCAUUAGGAGGAAUAUUGACUCUGAUAAGCUCUGUUCUGGACUCACUGCCAAUACAUGUCAUGUAUUUAUUCCCAAUCCCUUCUAAGGUGGAAGAAAAGUUAGACAAAUUAAGAAGAAAUUUCUUGUGGUUGGGAAACAAGGAAGGCAAGGGUUACCAUCUGGUCAAACAGAAGACUGUUCAACUAAACAAAGAAACUGGUGAUCCAGGCAUCUGGAACCUGGCACUUCAUAAUAAGUACCUAAUGAUGAAAUGGUUAGGGAGAUUUGUUGAUGAGGAGCAAGCACUUUGGAAGGAGGUCAUCCAGUCUAAGUAUGGGCAAAUCAGUCACUGGUGGUGACAACUACAUAUAGUGUCUCAAUAUGGAAGUCCAUCAAGGCCCUAUGGUUUUUCAGAUCAUUUUGCUACAAGAUUGGUAAUGGCAACAAAAUUUCCCUUUGGAGGGAUACCUGGAAUGGUCAGGAGUCCCUGAUGAAUUCCUAUCUAGCUUUGUUCUCUUUAUACAGCAAUCGUGACAAUUGGUCCCCUCAAGGGUGGAAUAUCUGUUUCAGAAGGCGUCUAAAUGACUGGGAGGUAGAUAUGCCGGCCAGGAUGGCAAGGAUGCUCCAAGACAUUAGUAGUUUCAAAGGUAUCAAUGUGAGCCCUGAUACUAUCAUCUGGAAACAUGGAAAAGAUGUCAAAUUCACUGUAAACAAUCUAUACAGGAAGAAUAUAUUGAAGAAUCCAUGUUGCUAGAUAGGGCCAUUGAGGCAGGUUCGGAAUAAUCCGACUCCAACAUAAAUUUUGUGCUUCCCUUGGCUGGUGACCAGGAAAGCUUGUCUGACACAUGAGAGUCUAAAAAGAAGGGGGAUGCAAUUUGCAUCCAGAUGUUUCUUGGGCAAUAAACAGAGGAGACAAACAGCCACAUUUUCUUACACUGCAAAGUCACUUCUCAGCUUUGGUCCAUCUUCUUUAGUCUCACACAAACCCAGUGGUCAGUGCCAGAGCAUACAACAGACCUUCUGAGCUGCUGGAUCAGGAGAGGGGGAAGCAAAAAUCAAACGAAAUGGUGGAGAAUAAUCCCAGUAUGCAUAUGGUGAUGGACAGUGUGGAGAGAAAGAAAUGUGAGAUGCUUUGAGGAUAGAUUUGUGGAACUGCAUCACAACCCAUUAUUUUUAGUGUAAAGGAGAACUUGUAAUGAUGAAUUCAAAUAGUAGCUUUGUUAGGCUCAUUGUAAUUAGCAUUUUGGUCACAAUUUUUGGAGGUUGCCAGCAUAACAUACCAUUAAUGCUGAAGAAUACAACAUAACCAGUUCUUUUUUAAAAAACAAAAAAACAAAUCAAAAGGGGAAAGUCAAACCAAAUAUUUAUUUCAUGAGGAAACAAGUUGAGUACCAACUCACGUUGAGAUGGAAGCUCCUAAGGUUCUACCAAACACAAGACACGCCAAAUAGUAAAGCAAGGGGACAUAGCAUGGCUACUACGUAAAAGGGUCAAUUAGUUGGUUUUACUAAAUCGCCUCAGUGAAACAAUCUAAACAUCCAACCCCAGACGUCAAUACAACAUGUAGAGUGGAUCAAAAUAUUAUGAAUUUAUUUGGGAACCCUUAAAUAAACAAUGACAAAUGUGUUCUCUAACACCCUCGCACACGUGUAACCCAUUCUAGCUAUACGCGUGGAUUGCAGAUUUCUUUUUUUCCUUUUUUUGUCUUUAAUAGGCGCAACAAGUUGUGGAGUGGAUGUAGAGGCUAGAGCAAAGUUAUUGGCGCGGCUGAAUUGAGAGAGUGAAGGAAUCCUAGAGGGGCUCGAUGGGCUGAGUAGAGAAAGAUGUUUCGAGCAAAUACAAAAGGUAGAGAUUCUGAUAUGAUAGAUGUCACAGGACCCUUCUAAUAGGAGAUAGAAUAUAGCUAUGAUUUUUUUGCUCUUUUGAAAUCUGUAUAGAUGGCCCUAGCACUGCCUGUGUGCUACUUAUAAAACAUGCUACCAUUCUCAAAAAUAUGAGGUAGAGUGAUGAUGGUAAUAGAGUAGGUAGAGAGCAAUUUCCUUGGAGACUCUUAUACAUCCAAUGAGGGACAAGUGUGUUUCCUAACAACCUCCAUUUUCUCAAGGGUGGAACAGAAUGGACCUCAAUCAGUUUAGUACAAGGUUCCUCAGAAGUUCUGGAGAUGCUAAAAUUCAAGAAAAAAAUUAAUAUUACCAUGAAAGGACAAGGAAGCAAAUAAACAUAUAACGUGAAAGGGACAGUGGAGGUAGGGGAUGAUGAUCCUGGUGAAAAACUGGGAGGAAGUCCCGUACCAGUUAAAUUUCAACAUGAGGAAUGAUAUUCAAGAAGGUAGGGAAGUGACAAGAGGGGGUUGCUCAGAUGGUAAACACCCUCCAUCUUCAAACUUUAGGUUGUGGGUUCGAGUCACCAAGGGAGCAACGAAAAGCAGGAGCAUCUAGGGAGGGGUAAAAAAAGGGUAGGGAAGCUUAUCGCUUGGUGAUGUCCACUUCAGUUAAGAAGACUGAUUAUGAUGAAGCAACAAAAACUUUAAAACACAGCAAUUUGGAUGCCGAAACCAUAUAGACAAAGGUGGAAGGGUACACAAUGCCUCACCAUAGAUAAUAUCAGAUACGUCAAAAGGCAGAUUUGGAAUGCCUAAGAGCUAAAGCUUUUGUUGAUUUUUGGGCUUGAAAAGUUGGAGCCAGUGAAGAGAAGAAACGGAGCUGUUUAUGUCAACUGAAGGAUAUAUAACCUCUCUCUUAAACAGAGUGCUAUUCUUUUUACUUUUUCUACUUCAAGACAGAUGGUAUCACACAAAUUGCUAGAAUAGCUUUUCCAGAUGUAUUGUCACUAAUUAAUUGACUACACAUAAGGAAAAAGACAACAUUCAUUGAAAAAGGAUUCAUUAGACAAAACAAAACUAGCAAAAAGGGGUGAGAUUGAGGCAUCAAAUGAAGUUCACUUCUAAGUUUAAGGGGCCACUUGGCCAUGCAAUUUGGAUUUGAAAUUUGAAGGUUUUGAUUUAAAAUCUGUGUUUGUUUAUGACAUUUGAACAAAACUCCAACUUCAUUUUGAAUUUUGAUUUCAAAUUCACCUAAAAGGCUUCAAUUGCUCUUAAAUUAAAACUUGACCCAUAAGCUUAUAUUUUGCAAAUAAAGGCCCAUACUUUAAAUUUUGCCAAAAAAGACUCAUGAUCGAUGUGAAGAGAUUGUUUGUACCAUGUGGUAAAAUUAUAAUAAAGAAUAGCUAGUAACUAAUAUUAAUUUAUUUAUGAGUUAGUUGUCAAAACCACACCUGAUCUAUCACAUUUACGCAAGUUUCACACCUCAACUAUCAGUUGUUCCCUUUUCGUACUCGGACUAUCUCCAUCUAUUCUUUUUCCUACUUGAACUAUGACCUAUGCAUUAAAACAACCUCAAAUCUGACCAGGCCAACUAUUACUUGUUUCUUUUCCUACAUGAACUAUCAUAUUCAUGUCCAAACACCUACUAAAUAUUAAUUGUAAAACUAGAAAGAUACAAGACCACAAUCACCCAUGCAGCAGUCGUGUCUCAGAAUACAAAGAUACUCCUAAUUUCCAAAUUCUGAAAUUCGCCAGUAGCCACAGUUUUUGUUUUUUUGGCAACUUCUAAAAAUUAAGAUCCACCGAAGUGGGUAGCCUUAACUGGAUGUGUCUGGUAAUAGGUAAAGCCCCAAGGCGUUUCCCAUCCCUGUCGGGGGAGAUGCCAACCAUCUAUCCUUUCUAGAACACUCCAUAAGCCACAUUUAAUCUGUAUGGCUUAAUCAAAAGGGCUAAAUCUCUUACACAUAAUAAUGCAUCAUGUUCCUUCAAAGAGAAAGGAGCAACAAUAAGGAUCAAGGCUUAAAGGUAGCUUACGAUAGAAGCUGAUACACAGAGCUAGUUUUUGGAGUAAAUGCGAUGGCAGUAACAGCUCCAGUGUGACCACGCAAAACUGAAAUAGGUAAUCCAUCUGGCAAGCGCCACUGAAGUACAGAGAAAGUAGAUAAGCUGCUCACUCUUCAACAGAGGAGAUCUUCAAGCCCAAAAUUAUUACUCUUCAAAGAAAGCAAGAAGAUAUCUCUGUCAAGUGGUAGGAGAAUCUUACAACUCGAAUGCUGUAGUCAUUUGAUGCAGAUGCCACCAAAGCAUUGUUUGAACUGACGGCUAAAUCAGUGAUGUCACCCUAUAGCAUGACAAGCAAAUAAGUGUACAAACGAAGAGUAACUAUUCAUAAGGAAGAGUUAAAAUUGAGGACACUAUUGGGAGCAUAUCUCAAUGAACUUACUUCAUGUCCUCGGCAACUAGCCAGGCAUAAUCCAGUUUCCAUUGACCAAACCUUGACGAGGCGAUCAUCAGAACCAGUAAUCACAUAUCUUCCUGAGCGAUCAAAUAUUGCUACACAACAGAGAAUAGGCAGAGAAAUUGAGCUGAAGGUUCGAAUGUCUUCUUGACAGACAACCCUUUAUAUCUCUAAUUGAGCUGAAGGUUCGCACGUCUUCUUGACAGACAACCCUUUAUAUCUCUAAUAUGAUAAACCUUAAAAGCUAUUGAAUGUAUCUACGAUUUAAGAAAAAGAAACAGCUACCUUUAAAACUAUUAGUGGCAUUCAAUUUCUGGAAUAUUAGGUAUAGCAGAAAAAGUGUGUUUUAUUGAGCAUAAAUGAAAUCCCUGAACGAGAACCCAUUUUGAGAGAAGAACUUUUAAGUGCCUAUAUACAAUAAGAGUUUUAAAGUUGUACCACAAUAAACAGCAUCCCUAUGUCCCCUUAGUUUCUUUAUGUUUUGCAUCUUUUGGACCAUAGUUGACGGCUUUGCAACAGCAUAACUUGCAAGACGGAUAGAUGGAGCACGAUGAUGUUUUGGGAAACCUCCUCCAAUCUCUCUUAAAGUUAGACCAUGCACCUGAUUAGCCGGCAUGUGUGGCCAACGGAGGUAUGAAGGAAGGGAUUGUGCUUGCUUAUUGACUCUAUUUCGCUCACCUGUUCAUCACAUAUUCAAACUUAGACAAACAGAAAACCUAAAGUGGCAACAGAAUGUAUAUGUCAUGCUACUUAAGAGAGACAACAUAAAAGGGAGAGGGACAAUGUGCAGAAGAGAUCACAGUGCAAAUGACCAAACAAGGGAUGUUUGUGAAGAAUUCGUAGUUUGGAAGGCUUUCCUGGAUAACUUUGCUCACUUGAACAAACUGAUGAAAGGAAACAUUCACGAUCAAAGAUGCAGAAUACAUGCCAAAGAGUUUUUAAAAAGUACCUGUAAGCUGUUUUCGCCUUUUAGUGAGACGCCUUAUAAAGCCAAUGAAAGGCACAAAUUCAAAUGCAAUACAAUCCUCAAAAUGCUACUCAGUAAAUUGUGGCUUCUUUUUUUUGGCCAAAAUACCACCAAAGAUAUAGUUUAAGUGAUAGUGUAUGUCAGUCUAAGAGUAGAGAGAUAAAGUUAAUCUUGUAAUAUGCUUGGAUUCCUGUUAGUUCACUAUCUGGUGACAUGAUAUUGGAGAAUUGUUGAGUAGUACAGGGAAAAGGUUUAUGUAACUUUUGGCCAAAACGAGUACCAAAGCUAUAGUAGUGCACAAGCCAGAACAGAGAGUAGGAAAAUUAAUCAAGGACAAAAGGAGUCGGUUUAAACCAAAAAAAACAAAAAAGGAAAAAGAGAAAUUGAGACAUGCGAGGUCAAUUUCCAAGAGAAUAUAUAUUAGAUCUUAGACCUCAUAAGACUACUUACAAGUCAAAAGAGAAAAAGGCCCAGAUCCAAGUAGCGUGGGGACAUCAGCAGCACCAGGAGCAUCUCCCCCACCACAUUGCAAAGGAGGACCCGAAUUCAGCAGCAGUUGUUUAAACAACUUUACCAAGUGAUCUUUUUCAACAUGAGGAUACCUAUCAUCAGCAAACUAAAGGUUUAAACAACACAAGGAAUCAAGAAUAUCAAUUAACUAUUUAAGCAGAAACAGAUGGAUAUUGUGGCAUGUUAACCAGGUCAACUUUCCCAGGAGCCCAGCAACCAUUUUGAAAGCAUCAUUAAAUAUAAAUAAUUCAAUUAUAAAUAAGCAAAAGGUUCUAGUGAGAAGGCAUUAUAUAGUAUAAUAGAAAAGUGACUAAUAAUUGAUUUUUUGGUUAUAAUAAAGAACUCAUAAUUGAGUCUUUAAAAGAAAGUUUAAAAUCUAUAGGACUCGAUCAGAGUAGCUUGACAUUCUUUACCAGAAUUAAAUUAUCAUAUAUUUACAUAAACUCAUAAAAGAAUUGAAUAGAUGUAUCCAGGGAGAUUUCUCUUUGAAGCAACUAUUUCCUAGAUCACAUGUCGUCUUAUUUCACAACUGAAUCAAUCUAAAACUUAAAGCGGAACAACUUCACAUAAAGUGGGGCAGAGAGGACACAGGUUUCCCAUAUCUAUUAUUCUGUGGAUCGAAAGAGCCCCCAAAGAAGGUAUACAAAGCUUGCUCAAUACAACAUGUUUGGAGCUGAUCUAUUCUAAGUUGUCUCAGAUGACAGAUAUGACAGUGAUGAGGAUCAGAGUGAUGAGACUGAAGCUCAAAGCAAACACCAGCACACAAAAGUGCAGCAGACAUAUCUAAUUUCAACAAGAAGAAAAACAUAAAAUAUGUUUACAAGGCACACCUUAGCAUCAGAUCAUCAUAAUUUAGAGGGAAAGAAAUGUCAUCGUCAUCAUCAUCUCCACUGAGUACACCUUUUCUUGAAUACCAAGCAUGAUAUCUCCUAGGCAGAAGCUCAUGUUCCAAAAGUUCAUCACAGAAUAUUCCAAACGUUUUUCGGCACGGCCCAGAUGACAAAAAAUGCAUAAUCAGAAAAUAAACUUCUCUGAGGUCAAUAUUUACAUCCUUUAUUGUGGCAUGUUCAGCAAAUCUCUCUUCUUCUUCGAAGAGAGAUUUUGUGUAUACCCUAUUCAGGAAACUUGUAUGUGCCAUAUUUGAUGAUGAAGCACCAUUUCUAGAUGUACACUUCCCUGAAUCCAUCCUUUGUUAGCAAAUAAACUCCCCACACUGAGUAUUCCUCUUCAAAGAGCAAGAUCCAUGAAUCUACAUUCUCAAAAACUGAAAUUAGAAAGCAUACUCAAUCAUUUGCUAGGAAGUAGUAAAUGCAGAAGUUCUCAUAAUUCAUUAACACUUCAUGAAACAUAUUCUAACCACCAUGAACAAGCGCGCACAAAGGUCACUACACAAGGUCAAAGAACUUAGAUAUGAUUCUUCCAAACAUGUUAUUGUAAUGCAACAAAAAUAUGUGACAACAAUAACAAGAAAGCCCCCACCCCCCCCCNNNNNNNNNNNNNNNNNNNNNNNNNNNNNNNNNNNNNNNNNNNNNNNNNNNNNNNNNNNNNNNNNNNNNNNNNNNNNNNNNNNNNNNNNNNNNNNNNNNNNNNNNNNNNNNNNNNNNNNNNNNNNNNNNNNNNNNNNNNNNNNNNNNNNNNNNNNNNNNNNNNNNNNNNNNNNNNNNNNNNNNNNNNNNNNNNNNNNNNNNNNNNNNNNNNNNNNNNNNNNNNNNNNNNNNNNNNNNNNNNNNNNNNNNNNNNNNNNNNNNNNNNNNNNNNNNNNNNNNNNNNNNNNNNNNNNNNNNNNNNNNNNNNNNNNNNNNNNNNNNNNNNNNNNNNNNNNNNNNNNNNNNNNNNNNNNNNNNNNNNNNNNNNNNNNNNNNNNNNNNNNNNNNNNNNNNNNNNNNNNNNNNNNNNNNNNNNNNNNNNNNNNNNNNNNNNNNNNNNNNNNNNNNNNNNNNNNNNNNNNNNNNNNNNNNNNNNNNNNNNNNNNNNNNNNNNNNNNNNNNNNNNNNNNNNNNNNNNNNNNNNNNNNNNNNNNNNNNNNNNNNNNNNNNNNNNNNNNNNNNNNNNNNNNNNNNNNNNNNNNNNNNNNNNNNNNNNNNNNNNNNNNNNCCCCCCUCCUCUUUCAUUUCAGCUUCCCGUUACAGCUGCAUGGAAGUUAUAGGACAUAAGUUAAGUGACUAAUUACAAGCAUCACACAACAAAAUUAACACAUGUGUGCACACUAGCAGUAAGUAAAAAUGGUGAAGUCAGAAUUGGGGUAAACAAACUAGUAAAACUCUUUAACUAUUUCAAACCUAUUUCAGGGGUAUAGAAAAAAGGGAAAAGGGUACUUUAUUAUACUGUUCAACUCUAUCCUCCGUUAUACUAUCUUGUCAAUAUUACCCUCGAAGUUAUGGAACUUAUCAGAUUUAACACCCCCACCCCCAAAUUAACAGUUUCUUCCAAUCUGGCCAAAAUUACACAAUUAAAUCCGCGACCCACAGCCCACCAGACCCACAUCAAAUCACAACAAAAACUGAAAGUCUGAAACAAAUCAGUCCCAGAAUUGGACCAAACAGUCCCUAAAUUGGACCAAGGCAUUAGCAAAAAAACUGAACAAAUCUCAACCAAAACUACACCAAAAUCACAACCAAAAAAUGAACCAAAUUAGUCAAAUUAGAAUAAAUGUGCUUUUGAAUUUAAUUUGCUUCAAUUCUCAGCAUUUAAAGAGGAAAAGCUUCCUAAGUUGAUCUUCUUGGUUUUGAAUUACAGUUGCAUCUUUUACUAUGAAAUUCCUGCUGCAAUCUUACUUCCUCAAUAGAUGCGAAUUAUUGCCCACUGUCCUGAAUCCUCUCUGUGAUUUGGUGACCAAAUGAACCUCAACAAUCUAUGACACUCAAUCAGCUUUUGUUUCUACUGCAAGAACAGGUAUUCUAGUGGCUUGAAAUGGGGGAGGGGCUCUCUGUUCUGGGUUGAAGCCAGUGGCUAUGGAGUUAGCUGGCGAUAUUUUUUCCAGAGGUAAUGGGAUUCACGACUGAGUUGCGGGUGGUUCAUGGAUCUGUACAGGAAUGUGAUAUAUGGAAGAAAGGGCAUUCACAUGAUGGUGUUAGGGUGGUGAUUCACGGUGGUGUUUGGUGGCAGAGUGGUGUACGGUGAGGCGAGGGAGACUGAAGGUGGUGCUCCAUUUUUUACCAAAAAUCUGCCUUCCCAGUGACCUCACCCUCCGUGUAUCUGAGCAUCGUCUCCUUCUAUCCAGUGAAUGUUCUCUAAAUGCUUGGAUCUAAUCCUUGAUAAGAAGGAAAAAUGAAAACCUCCCCUCUAUUGUGUGCUAUCUAUCCAAAAUACUCUCUGUGAUUUGGUGUCAGUCUGGUGGGUCAAACUGGGUGAUUUUGGCCAGAUAGGGGAAAUCGUUAGUUUGGGGGUACAUCUGAUAAGCUUCAUAAAAGCGAAGGUAAUACUGGCCAGAUAGUAUAACGGAGGAUAAAGUUGAACAAUAUAAUAAAGUAGAGGGGUAAAUUUGACCCAUUGCCCUAGAAAAAAGUUAACCUGCAAGAAUUUUAGGAUUUGUAUGAGACUUCAACCAACAACCCUAAGUAGGGAAGUAUGUCGCCAACAAGUUAAUGCAUGAGUUCAAACAUUUUAUCAUUCAACGAAUGCAAAAAAAGGGGGAGGGAGAAGGAACGAGAAGAGGUGCACAAAGCAUGUUACAUCAAAUUAACAGGAAAAUAUUUUAGAACUAUGCAUGAUAUUUCCUUAACAGGUACUAGUGCAUUUUCAUUUUGAUUAAUCCUCCCUCUGUUUCAAAAAGAAUAUCCCAAUUUCCUUUUUAGUAUGUUUCAAAAAGAAUGACCCCUUUCCUUUUUUGGCAACAAUUUAAUUUUAACUUUCCACGUGGCAUGUUUAAGGCCACAAGAUUAAAGGGAAUUUUGGUACAUUUGACAUAACUUUAAUUUAGAACCACAAAAUUAAAAAGUCUUCUUUCUUUUCUUAAACUCCGUUCCAAGUCAAAUUAGGCCAUUCUUUUUUAAACGGAGGGAGUAAAAUAGUUUAACAAGUGUAGUUCUAAAUUGUAGAGGAAUAGCUUAGUUCUUCUUUGUUCCAAUAACCAAAAAAUUCCGAAGGGUCACUGAUGCACGGUUCGAAACUCAGUGAUAAACUUAUAAUGGGUCCACCCCUCUAUCAUUUUCCACUUAAUUACUAGGUUUUGUCUACAAUGGGGUUCAAACCUAUGGAUGUGUGCCUAACCGAUACAUUACAAGUUGCGCUUUAACCACUGCACCAAAGCCCUGGGACAUUAGCUUGGCAAUUUCUAACCACAUAAGAACUCUUUCUUGGUUAAGAGGGAAGAAGGCUCUCCAUGUUUCUCUCAGUGCAGUAGUCACCAAGAACAUGUAUGUCUGCAUCAUCCUAAUUAUGGACAAUCCUCAGUAACACAACUUCUCACCAACCAAAUAAGGAAAUGGAUAACUGGUCCACUCUCCAAUGGAAAAAUUUACUCUAAAAGUUCAAUCCACAUUGUACACAAAAAGUGGGGAAAAAAAUCUAGAAUAACAUGCAAUAUGACAAGAGGGAGUUGCUAGGAUGGUAAGCAUCCCUCACUUCCAACCUUAAAAGAGGACUUAGAAGUUCUGCAAUUCCGAUUUAGGGAAGUGCACGUGUACAUUUAUACUUAGUUGAUGGUCGUUCAUGCAUUUCAGUAUCAACCUUGUACAAAUACCAAGGUGGAAUUUCAGAUCCCCUUUCAGGAAACCUCCAUAAAUCACCACCACAAAUGGUAUCAUAAGGAAAAAUGAGACUAAUGCAGGUAGAAAUUGAAGAAAAUGUGCUUAACAAGAAAAGCUAUUAACAUUGUAGGCACAUAAAAGCAGGUCACUGAGCAUGCCCUCGCGUCCUCGCCAUAGUCGGCCAUAAAAUUUGUCUGAGACAGAAAAUCAAUUUUGACAUCAAUUAGAGCGUAAUUGUGAACAUGCAUACAACAACUCAGUGUUUUGAGAUUACAACAACAACAUACCCAGUGAAAUCCCACAAGUGUAGUUUGGGAAGGGUAGAGUAUACACAAACCUUAACUCUACCUUGUGGAGAUAGAGAGGUUGUUUCUGGAGGACCCUUGGCUUGAGUACAGCAAAUCAAAGUAGGUAUGAAAGGGAAAAUAAAAACGACAGUGAAGAAAAUAUAGCUAUUAGUCAAGGGAACACAGUAACACCAACAAAAUAGUGUGAUAACUGAAACACAAUAAACACAAAUGAUGAUAGAAACCAAAAGGGACACACUACAAGAAAAGGCUAGAAUUACGACAGACAAUACACUACUACCUACUAACCUUCUACCCUAAUCCGCGACCUCCACGCUCUCCUAUCUAAGGUUAUGCCCUCGGUAAGCAGAAGUUGUAUCAUGUCUUGUCUAAUCACCUAUCCCCAGUACUUUUUUGUCUACCUCUACCUCUCCUCAUACCCACUAUAUCCUCGAGAUUAACCACUUCUAUUACAUCCUUAGCCCCCCUGAAGACUUCUUACAGAAGAAGUCAGUAACUUGGUAGAAAUAGAUCACAACAAAAACAGAACAAUUGAUGACUCGCUUUUGUUCAAUUAUAAAAAAAUAAGCACUUUGAUGAAGAUUUAUAGCAUCAUUCAAAUAUAUACAGAUUAAGAUUGUAGAAACAUGAGCUUGUGAUAUAGCUUAUUACAGACACUUCGUUCGAAAAGCACCGCAUGCUGAUACGGACAACCUAAUCAUUUUCUAAUAAUUUGAGCUCAAUGAUCCACCAUAGUUAAAGUACCAAUAUAAAAACAAAAAAUUGAUCCGCCAUAGUUGAAGUGCAAAAAUAUGAUGAGAUAUGUACUUUCUACUAGUCUUUUUAUAACUUUUUCCUCUUAUUUUUCCUUUUGACUUUAUUGUUUAUCAUCUAAUGGUGGUUUCGCACAAAUCCAGUUACUUAACCUACUGUAACUCAUGAAUAAAUUGACUCACUAGACUCUAAAGCAGUCAAGGUAUGAUUUAGUGGUCAAUGAACUGAGUUGAGAACCAUAAGGUCUCAAGUUCAAUUCUUAGUGGAGGCAAAAAUACAAGAUUAUUUCAAGAGAACGGUAUUUUUUUCUAUUUUACCCUUAACAUUAACUACUCUUCCCCAAAUUAUUUCCUAAGUCCAUUGAGACUUAAUUUGGGUAUUAUGAUAAAUGUGCACUUCAUUAAAUAUUUCUUAAGGGGAGUGCAAAGUCCAUUAUGGACAAGUAAAAGUAAUAUGUGCAACUAUUGUUCCCAUACAUUUGAUCACUACUAAUUCUAGAGGACAUUAUUAAAAUUGUAAGUUUCCUUUUGCCAAGUGUCGUUAAUACUUCGUGCAAGAACCUGAUCUCUUCCCUGGGAUAAUAUGGCAAGGUUGAAUGUGCUUGCCACACACUUUGGCUCCACCAAAAGGUACUAAUUUCUUAGAAAUUAGGCAAGUUGAGGUAAUUAUUACACUACUUUGCUGUCAAAAUAAGAUUGUUAGCAGUGUUCUUGUUUAAACUUCAAAUGGUACAGACAUUAGGAGCCAAACAACAAUUAGCGUUUGCUCUGACACCUUUAUUGGACUGAACAAAGCAGGACAGAAGACUAUUUUGGUAAAAUGUUUUACAACAUAAAAAUUACCCAAGAGGAAGGGAUGGGAUAGCAAUCAGACAUGGCAUUUUAUUUUACAUCCUUCCUUUUUCUCCUUUUCAUACAUUUCAUAUAAGUACUGGACAAAGGAUAUCAGUACCACUACAAAUCCCCUCACUGUGUCCGCCUUGGGAUCAUAAUCUAGGGUUAUUUACUUAUUUUCCAUAACCAUUAACAGCCAAAAGAUUUGCAAACAUUAACAUCUUACGCAUUUAAUAAACCUCAGCAAAGUUUUAUGGAGAGAAAUUAAAUUCCUUUUUAAAUUACUAAACCACAAAGAAUCAUCUUCUGAAAAUGUAACACAUCAAGAAACUGCUUGAUAUUUUCUAGAAAUAUAUCAAGUCCCGGUUUAAACUCAAUAAAUUCAUACUACAAAUACCAUAACCUACAAAAGAAUUCCUCAACAAAGUGAGGUAUCCCAAGUGAAUGACAAGAUGAGGAGGAGGACACAAGAAAAAAGAUAACAAUUUAACUACAGCAACAACAUAAGUGAUGCAAUCAAUCAAAUGACCAAUUGAUAAAUGAUCAAUGUCCUUAUCCAAUGCAGAUUGAUUGACUAUAUAUGCACAGGCAGAGCUAGGGACAGAAGGGGUUUAUCCGACCCCCUGUGCUGAAAAAGUACAUUGUCUAUAUAAGGUAAAAAUUAACUUUAUGUCAGAUAUAGUAGACAUUGAAUCCCCUUGACUUUACUUAUUCAUAUUUUAGGAUCCCCUUAAUGAAAAUCCCUAGCUCUGCCACUAGUCGACCCAUUUCAUUCCAAUUAUGAAUUCAUGAUCAAUAAUUUGUCGUUUAAGGCAAGUUAGGUUUCUCUAUAGAUUCUCUAAAUCUCACACUUAUUCAUAAACUAACAUGCCAUUCUGUAACUAGACUAUACAUGACAUGCAUGCCUAGUGAUAUAUAACAUCAAGAAUCCUCUAAACAUAAAUAAUAAAUCUACCAAAACUCAAAGCCCAGUCAAGUGGGGUUUUCUUAAUAACUUUUCAAGUAUAGAAAAUCUCUUUUCUUCUUCCCCAAGUUUAAUUUUUUUUUCCACCAUUAAAGAAAAUAAGCAUGAAUUGAAAGACCCAAUGUUAGCAAAGUGAAAAAGGAAAAAAAGACAUAGUUUUUAUGAUUGACCUGGUGAAAAAAUAGGGCAAGAUUAUUCCGAGCAUAGCUAAUGAGCUAAAAGGGUUUUCCGGUUGUUGCUGUAAAUUGAUUGAGAUGCAGAUGCAGAUGUUUGCUCUCCCACAGCCUUCGAAAAUGGAAAGUUAGCUCCUUUUGGGGACAAAGAGGGAGAAAAGAUUUUGUUAGUAAGAAAAAAAAUAGAAGAGACAAUUGUUUGUAGUGAAAAAUUGUGCGUAAAUGGCCAAUCCGUAAUUCCUUGGGCCGUUUGACGCCGCAACUCCCACUUUGCUGGUUAAAAGCAAAGAGUAAUAACCUUGUCUUUUCCUUUUCAUUGUUUUGGUUUUUCUCUCUUAAAGAAAAUAUUAGAUAUACAAAAUUAUCAUUUAUUAUUUUUAAAAAGUAUUAUUUAAUUAUCUUUAUAAUAUUUAAAAAUUAGAAGUCUAAAACAUAUGGUAUGAAGAAAAAUAUAUUUUAAAAAUUAAGAAAUCCUAAAAUAUAUGAUAAAAAGAAAAUAAAUUAUAAGAAGUAUUAGGAACAUUUUCUCUCAUCAAUAUGUAUUAUUAUUAUAUAUAUAUAUACUAGUCCUGAACACGUGCGUUGCACAUGUGUCCCAUGUUAAAUUGUGUGGAGUUAUUGUAUAAAUAUAAACUUUUCAAUUGAUAUUUUCUCAUUCUUAUUGUAACUAAUCUAUUGGUUAGUGUGCUCCAUAAUAUUAGAAUAAACGUAUUCUUUUUUUGCAAAGACUAAAACCAAACCUUCUAAUAUGCAGAAAUAAUGAAACAAAAAAUUAAUCAAUUUUCAAUACAAUGAGAUAAUUUCUUAUUCAACAUUUCUAUUCUUUUUAAUAUUUUAGUACACCUGCAUCCAUAAAACAUAAAGUUUUUUUUUGUUUAUGUAGAAUAAUGGGAAAAAACACAAUGUGAGGAUUACCAAUAUCAAGUGAAAAGAAUAAAUAAUGAACAUGAAGCAAAAUUAAGUCAGUCUAAAUAUCUUAAAUAUUUAAAUAAUGAAGAAGAAAAAUAGUUGAUGUCUUAAAUGUAAUAUAUAAUCCAACAGAAUAUUUAUUAUUUUUGGUUGAUUAAAAGGAGUCCAUAAGAUUGUUACGGAAAUCAAUUGAAACAAAGCCAAGAACCAUUGAUAAAAAAAAAGUAAGUAAUGAAGAGUCAUUUUAAGAAAUUAUAAAAAUCAUGACUACACUUGAAUUGGGGUUCAUUUUAUUAUUGUAUUUGAACAAAUAUAAUAAUGAUUUGUAGUACUAAUAACAUUAAUGAAGAAUAUGAAUAGAUGAAGAAAGGUAUUUAAGAAAAUGGAAUAAAUGACAAUAAUAUAAUAAGAAAAGUUAUACCGUAUUUAUUUUCUAUUGAAUAAAUCGAAAGAAAGAAAAGGAAGGGGGGGGUUUAAGAAAUUAUAUAAAUGUCAAUAUUUAUUAAGAAAAGAAAUAUAUAUAUCUUACAUAUUUUUAAAUUAAAUGAAGAAGAGGAAAAGAAAAAAAUGGAGAAAAAAAACAAAAAAACAACAUAAUUUUGGGUAAUUAGUGUACCUAAUUCUUGAGAAGGAAUAAAUAGUAUUGAAUCAUUCAUUGUCAUAUUUACACAUAAAAAUAAAAAAUAAAAGAUAAAAGAAGAUAAAUAUAUUUCUUGAUAAAAAAAAUAUGUCAUAUGACCUAAUCAAUAUUCAUCGUUACAUAUUCCAAAAAAACACUAGGAAGAUGUUGCUAAUAGUAAAGUCCAAUAAAAGAUGUGACUUUCUAUAUAAAAUUAAUAAAAUAUGCUAGGUUGUAAAGGUCUAGAAAGAUUUGAUUAGUAUUUUCCACAAAUUAUUAGUGCUUGAUUGUUUUUUUUUUUUAUUGUAGACAUAAAAUGUUUCUAAAAGAUGCAUAUCUAUAUGAAAUAAAAAAUAUGUACUUCGUAGAAACUGUGUGUGCAUUACAUUGAACCAAAAAUAAGGGCAAAGCACACAAAAUGAACUCAUGUGGAUCUACAUUGAAAUAAAAAUAAAAUAAAAAAGGCAAUGAUGAACAGAAUUCUAACCAUGCUUUAGUGCAGCAGAGAACCUUUCGCGCUUGUGAAAUUCACCAAAUCACCUGUGCUCCACUAACAGUCCAAUUUCUCAAAGUUUCUAAUGUUUGUAUGUUUAUUCUCUCAAGGAAUAUGAUUUUCAGCAAUUGAAUAAUAGUUUUUUGAGUGUUGAUACUCAUGGUAUUCAAUCAUUGCUUUUAUAUAUAUAUAUAUUUGUUAAUAUCUGUUAUUUCUAUUACUCUCCAAAUCUCAUUUUGUCAAAUUAUAUAAACAAUACAAUUGAAUAGUACUUCUUUGAGUGCUCAAACACAUUUAUAUUGCUUAUAUAAUCUCACAAAGUGAGGUUUGGAGAGUAAUAGGAAUUUAAGAAAUAACAUAUAUUGACAAAUAUAUAUAUAAUAAGCAAUGAUCGAAUACCAGAAGUAAUAAAAAAAAAAUCUAUCAAAGUGAUUGUAAGCUCACUUAAAAGUGAAUAACUAAAAUUACUAAUUAUUAUUUGUUAAUACAACAUUGAGAUAAACACAAGAAUUUUAUGAACAAAAUAGUACUCCUACAAGGGAUUAUUCACAAUCAUAAAAACCCAAGAAAAUAAAAUAAAAUAGAGUAGACAUACGGCAUCUCAAAACGAUCAAAAUAAAGAAAUGUGAACGUGUUGUUGGCUACCGAAAGAAAAUAACUUCUUAUUAUUGAACAAAACUUGUGAUCAUUUGAGACUUUUAAUAGAUCUAAACAAAAAUAAAAAAGUUUACCUACUUCAAAGCUCCCAAAAGUGACAGCAUUGAUUGAGCCAAGAGGUUCACUGCUUUCUUAUUUUUUUGGAUGAAGACUGCUGAGUUCUCUAAUUUGAAAAAGUCAGUAUUAUGAGUCUUUUCAGUUUUUUAUUUAAUGUAUUUUUAUAUCUUUUUUAUUUAGUUUAGGGGUAAAACGAUAAUUUAACUUUUGACUUAGAUUCUUCCCACUUAUAAUAAUAAUAUAUAUAAAUAUAAAUAAAUAAUAUAUAUAUAUAUAUAUUCUUAAGUUAUUUGUUAUUAGAUAAAGUUCCAAAAAAGGUAGCAAAAUAAUUAUUAUACUUUUUAUAUUCUUUCGUUUUUAGUUUUUAAUUGCUUCCAAAAAGUUAUUCUUUAUUAUUUAUGUGACAUUAUUAUAUACGGAAGUUAAAAUUGUGAAAGAGUUAAAUCAAAGACAAAUACAUCAAUUUAUAUAUAUUACAGGUAAUGUGAAGUUUCUUCUUUCAUCGCAACUUUAGAUUGUCAAUGUUACUUUUAAUUUGUUACAAUUAAUUGUGUUAUAUUAUUAUAUGUUCAUACAUAAUGUAGUUUGUUUUUCAUUUACCUACUAUUUAAAAUGUGUUUUCAUGUAUUAUCAACAAAAUUUUGACUUUUGAAUAUCAAUAACAGUAUAUUUAAUUUUGCUCCUUAAUUGUUAGUGUAACGAUGAGUUAUCAUGUUCCUUAUAAGUACAUUUUUUAUCUUAAGAAGUUUAUGAUAUUUAAAAAAAAAUUAUACUUAAAUUAUAGCAUACACAUGAUAACUUCUUUUUAUAUACAUUCAUUAUUAAUUAACGUGACGCACACACAGAAACAUGUACAUUUAACUAAUCUAUAUUUUUUAAAAAGCAUGAAAGCUCUUUAAAAUGUUAAAUGGACUUUUAAACCUUUAUUAAAAUACUCUACAAUAGAAAGCUAUCGUUUACUAUUAUUUCUCAAAUUAUUAUUUGAUUAUGUUCAUAAUAGAUACGAGACUCUUAAACUUGAAAAAGUUUAAAGUAGAAGUCCUAAGUACUCCCCUUGUCUAACAAUACCUGUUUAUUAUUGAUUUUCUACACUUUUUAAGAAACUAUAAAUAGAAGGGUAAUUUUACUAUAUUACCCCUUUAAUAUAAUAAAUGCAAUGUCUUGAAAAAUGUAAUGGAAAAAUGACUAUAAUUAAUAAUAAGGGUAAAUUAGGAACUAAGUGUAAAAUUAUCCAUUAACUAGUAAAAUCACCCGUGCUUCAUGCGGAAAUUUAAUAUCACAUAAUUUAUAAAAUAAUACUUAAAAUCUAUGAGUCAUUAAAAUUAAAACACUAUAUUAUCUUACAUAUAAGAUUACGUAGUAACAAACAGUAAUAAUAUAAAGGAAGAUGAUAAUUAUAGUAUCUUAUCAUUUAUCCUUCAAUCAAUCAUCUUUGAUUUGAUUUUAUAAUUUAUCUUUUUGCCCAGGAAAUGUUAUUACUUGAUAUUUUUGGGGAUUCAAAUGAACAUCAACUGUACCGGAGAUAUUAAAUUUUCUAAUAAAUAAAUAAUCGUUGGUGAAGGGAUAAAUGAAUUUUAAAAGGAUGAAAAAAAUGAACAAAUAUUCUAAUUCUAACGUGUAGAAAGUUCAAGUCUAUCUUUUGUUUUACAUAUAUCAUUUUAAAGUUCUCCAUUUAAAUGUAUCAUAAGUAAUUAUUAAAAUAAAAAAUUAAAGUGAGAUUGUAUCAUAUUGGACAACAAUUCAACUUAUUAUGUAUACUUGAAAGGGAGAAAUAUUACACAAAUUAUUCAGUUUGUUUGGGUGUUUUUAAAAAAUCAACCAGAGUGAUGAAGUUCAAUUUGAAACUACACUUCUAUUCCAGUAGCAGUGUCGAGAAACACAUCCAUUACUUCAAGAAAGUAUUUACAACUUGCAGUAAACUUGAGAAUUUGUCAAUACUUCAUAUUGAAUAUGACCAAAUAAUUUAUUGUGUAGUUAUCUAUGUCUUUGGGAUUAAAAGAGGCUCCAGUGUAGUCAUAUUCCUCUAUAGGUCAUCAGGCACAUCCUUGAACCCAUGUCAAAAGUUUAUUAAUUCUUGUCUUCUUUUCCUAGUUCACUUCGCACAUCAAGGUGCGAUAAAGAUUUUUAAGGGUUUUCUAUCCUUAUAAUGACAUACCAAAUUUGAAUUUUGUCUUUAAGAGAUGGUAGUAUCGAUCUUUAAGGAAUUUUUUUUACUGUACCUUCAACAAUUUCAGUAGAGAAAACUUGUGUGAAUAACAAUAACUUUGCAGAAACACAAACAAUGAAGUUUAUAACAUGUACUCAAAAACAACAAUUAAUAACAUAAGCAUAAAUUAAUGGCUGUAAAAAAAACAUACCAGGAUCUGUAACAAUAGGAUGAAAUAGAAAGGAAAAAAUUGUACACGAAUAUUUAAUUGUGCAGAAGAAGAAGUUCAGAAUUUUCGUUGUUUUAAAAUGAGAGGAAAUUCCUUUAUUUAUAGCUAGACAAUGAAGGGUAGUGUGAACAAAUGUUUAUUAUGCCUUAUCGGAAAGGUCACAACUCUUUAGAAAAGUUACAACCCUUCGAAAAGGUCAUAACCUUUCAUAAAAGGCACAACUUUUCAUAAAAGUCGCAACUCUUCAUAGAAGUUACAACUUUCAUAAAAAUCAUAACUUUUCAUAUAAAUCACAAUUUUUCAUAAAAGUCACAACUUUUCAUGAAUAUCACAACUUUUCAUGAAAGUGGAAGACUAGUUUUGGAAAUAAAUAAAUUAAAAAAGGAAUUUUGGUUUAUGGUGGCGCCACGUAGACGGGCCUAGGGUUCUCUUUUAUAUAUAAUAGAUGAUAUGAUUUCAUAAAGUGGAUAAAUAUUAUUAGAUAUCUCAUAAUAGUAUAAUAGACAAUUAUUAUUAAACAGAGUAUAUGAUACAGAGGUAUUAGAAUUUUUUUUGUAAACUCCUAGUCCUAGAUAUAUGAGAAAGAGAAUUAACAUUUGGUGUAUUUACUUUUUCCCACAUGAAUAUAUGGAAAGGAAAAUUAAUGUUUGGUAUAUUUACUUUUUUCCACAUGAAUAGAGUAUAUGGGAAGAAAAAUUAAUGUGUUACUAUAAAAAUUGGGAAUGAAGUACUCUCUCCAUUCUUAUUUAAUUGUUAUCAUUUUAGAUUUCACGUUUUUUAAGAAAUUAAAUAAGUUUACUAUUAUAUUCAUGUUUAGUAUUCUCUUGAAGUCAAGUUUUUUUUCAAUCAAUAAACAUGAAUAAGUUUAUUUUGAUUAAUUAAUUUGACCAAUGAAAAUAAUAUAUUUACUUAGUUUUUCUAUAUUGGUCAAAUACAUAUUUUCAAGACAAAUAAUUCUCAAAGAUAAAAUAGGAAGAAUAAUGUCAUUCAUCCAUUGAUUUUGUGAAAUGACAAAUAUAAAAACAUCUAUUUAUAAUAAAAGCGACAUAUAAAUAGAAACAGGAGGGAGUAUUAUACUUAUUACAAGUGAAACUUCAAUUACUGUCUAUUACUCCUCGAUGAAGAGCAGGCCACAAUAUACUCCCUCUAUCCAACAAUAUUUGUCUAUUAUUGACUUUACACACUUUUUAAGAAAUUAUAAAUAGACGAGUAAUUUUACUAAAUUCUUCUUUAAAUAUGAUAGAUACAAUGUUAUAAAAAAUGACUAUAAUUAAUGAUAAAUGUAAUUAGGAACUAAAUGUAAAAUUGUCCAUUGAUUUCAAACAAUGGAUAAAUAUUACUGAACAUGUCAAAAUAAUAUAAUAGACGAUUAUUAUUGGACAAAGAGAGUAUUAUAUACAUAUUAGUACUCCUUCAGUCUUAUUUAUGAUUAGUUAGGUAAGUCCUGAUAUUUUACACUUUAAAAUCUUUUGAGAAAAGGAAUUCUUAACAGACCUAUUUUUUGUCAGAAUAAACACCAAUAUUCAUUCCUAUUUUCAUGUUGCAGCAUUUUCAAAGUCAGGAAAGAUGCAAAUUCAGUUGCAUGAUGAGUAGAAUCUUAAUACAAAAUAAAUGCUUUCAGCCUUUCACUAAACAAAGCAAUUUCAAUUUGUUUCUCACAUUGACUUGCAUUGUCAUGAAGAAAGUACGAGGGGCAUAGAAACUUCUACGAAUAAAUAAUUAACACUUCAGUAAAUUCUGGUACAGACUGACUGACAACUCUGGUCAUACACAGUUAGCCUCCCAUAUUGAUCGGCUUUAAUAAUUUGAUCUAAAUCCCAUUCUUGAUGUAAUACUAGUUUUACUAACUUUAAGUAGUAACCUAACAGACAAGGGAGAUUCUGUGAUACAAUCUUGUAACAUUACUGGAUUCACAUUGAUCCAGUGUCUAUCAUGCAUCAAUGAAUCUGAUGUUAAAGCUAUCAGGAUGAAUCUGCCACACAUUCAAGGCUGCAUAUUCUUCCAAACACUCCUUGAGUUGAGCUUCACUGUAUCCCUGUUCCAAGAUAAAGCAGUAACACAUCAGAGGCGAGAGAACUCGUACCAAAAAGUCAGUACCAUGCCCAAGGAAAAAACAAUUUAAGCCAGAAUAUAGGACUUGUUGAGUUAGAUAUUGAAUGCCAGCAAGAAAUGUAUACAAUGUCUCAAAAUGAAACAUCCAAAUGAGGUUGCCCUGAAUAGAUAAAUCUAGAGAUACGUCCCAACUAGUUUGGCAUGAUCUUAGCUGAUUGCCAUCACUUGCAAGUUGCGGGAAGAUGAAAACCAAUUCAGUUGGUUAAAAACAUGGGUGGAUCUGAUUAUGAGUAAAGAAAGCUAUGUGAAUCUUUGUUCACCACAAAGGACUCACUGUAAAGAAUUGUGGGAAUGAACUGGUACUGUAUCAAUAGCCAGCUUGAUGUCAUGACCUGCUUCAUCAUCGUGCCACUUAAGUGCCAUGUGGCAUAAACUUAUCCAUGUGGAAGUUUUACAUUGGAAGAAGGCUAGCCCAUAGUGGAAGGUUCGUGAAAGAUUCAUGAGUGAGUUACCAGUGCCGCACAGUACUAAGUAGAAUUUUAAGGCCAUGGCAUUGAGCUAUUUAGUCUGAUAUGAUUUGUUCUUUUUUUUCUCUUAAACGGGGAAUGACAGGGUGGUGGAGGGAAUUUCAACAACAAUAAGAUGAACUAGCAGAUUUUGGCCUUGCAUCAAGCAAUACUUUAGCCAAUAGCAAAAAGAUGUUCUACCAAAGGCUUUUUUCACAGAACAUAAAUAGUUCAUAAAAGGUUGCCAUAUGUAUCAGUAUUGUAAAACCUAAAGGGAUUUAUCAUUCUGCAUGUUUCCUUCCCAAAAGCAUGAAAUCAAUGCAGUUGGACACAACUUCAUUGAGAAACCAUGGCACAAACAAUUUUGAUAAAGCUUGACAGAUCAUGCAAAUCUAUUUUCUUUUUCUUUUCUAUGUUUUAAUCACAACUAUCUACCUUUACUUCUUGACAACUGUAUCAUCAGAUAAUGGGUAAGUGUGAAUUGUAACAUAUUCUCUAAGCAGUAAUUUAUCAUGCAUGUGCACUAGAUCCAAGUAUAUGUUUCAAGCUACCAACACGGUGUGCUUCCAGCUUCAUCUGGCAUAAUUGCUCACAAACUAACCUUUCUGGAAAUCCAGUUCAGAGCCUGGGCAUAGCUUAGUUCCAGCCUGUUCAUCCUAGCAGCCUCAUCACGCAGGAUUGAAUAAAUGUCAGAUAUUGCAUCCAGGCCAGAUCUUUGCCGAUCAUCUGAAUACAAGGAGAACUUCGACAUCUGCAUUAGCCGAAGUGCCUCAUCCACAUCACUCUGAGCAACUUUUUCUGAGAAACGCAGUCUGGCAAGUGCCUAAUUUAACACAGUAAAUGACAUCAACACAGUGUAAAGAAUGAUUAAAAAGGACUUUUAUGACAUUCGCUUGACUAAAUUGCCAUCAUCACUGUCUAUUUGACCUUAUGAUUAAGCGAGACAACUAUAUUUAUGACCACCUUAUUAUCAAUUAAGCUGUAAAACCUAGAAUCAGGAUUGCAAGGUCCAGGAUUGUCUUGGGAAGCAAAGCCUUACAUUUGCAAGGACUCCAUAUUUCCUAAUGAUAGCUAACCUACUUUCUGCUUUUUAGCCUCUCAAACCAAAGAGAAAACAAGAAUGUUUCCUCAUUCAGUUUCUUCCACAUGGCACUUGCCAAUUGUCAUACUUGAUUCAUUACAAGUUUUCCACUUUCAAAUAAGAGUUGAAGAGAAAAAUAGGCCCAACUCUUACUACGACGCAAUGUGAUACUUUAACUCUGUAAAUUGAUGCAGAAACUUACAGAUGAUAUUCUCAGGAUGCUUAGAAGUGUUCUGACGGUUGUAUAGGAGUGAGGGGUGUUUGAUUUUGCUUCUUCUUGCCUGAUACUAGAAUAUGCACCAGCAAUAUAGUCCUCUAGCUCCUUUGGUACAGAGGGAGACAAUCUCCUUGCAGCUGAUAUAUAAGCCCUGAAAUAAAAUAAAAUGGAUGUAGGUUUGCUCAGUCAAUUCUAAGCCUCACUACUAUCUUGUAAAGGGAGGUUCUCUUGAAGGUUAAAACACCAGAAAGAUAUUCUUGUAUUUACCGAAGCACAGAUGGUUCAAGUGGAGUGAACCCAAGAGCAGGAGAUUCUUUGUUUUGAUGCACAUAAACCACAUGUCUAGCCAAUUCAAGAUCGGAAUCCAUAUCUGCUCGAUCUAAGAUUAGCCAUAAAAGAUCAAAUCUUGAUAGAAGAGCUGGAGGAAGAUUAAUAUUUUCAGCUGGUGUCCUUCUCAUAUCAUAUCUUCCCCUAAGAAUGUUUUGAACAAAAAAUCGUCAGUGUUUAAAGUUUGUGCAUUAACACAAUCAACUGCCUGCACAAAUAAAUCAGAUGACCAUUUGUUGCAAAAUUUAGCAUAUUUCUACAUACAGGAAAAGUCAAAAUUCUAAAAGAUAGCAGUUGCUUCUCAAUGUUUUCAACAAACCAAAGGGGAAACAGUAAAUGUUUACCAUGCAGGAUUAGCAGCAGCAAGCACUGCAGUCCUUGCAUUUAGAGAUGUAGUGAUCCCAGCCUUUGCAAUACUAACAGUCUGCUGCUCCAUUACUUCAUGAAUAGCUGUUCUAUCAGAGUCGUCCAUCUUGUCAAAUUCAUCAAUAGCACAUAUACCCAUAUCUGCUAAUACCUGAGAAAAACAUUGUCCACAGAAUACUUGAGAAAUAGAUGGUUGAACGUUGCCUGAUACAGUUCCAACUCUGAAUGCACAUUGCUCACACCAUGAUAUUUUCCAAAACUCAAUGAAGUAGAUGUUAAAAAAGAAUUAAUUUGUUCUCACCAGUGCUCCGCCUUCAAGAACCAUCUCAUUAGUUACUGGAUCUUUCUGAACAGCAGCAGUUAGACCAACUCCACUGCUACCCUUACCAGUUGUGUAAACACCUCUGGGUGCAACAUUGAUUAUGUGUUUGAGAAGCUGGCUCUUUGCUACCCCGGGAUCACCCAUCAAACAUAUAUGUAAAUCACCUCUGAUCUGAGUUUUUUUCGUCAUAAAGAUGAAUAAGAUUUUCUUAAUCUGAGGAGUAGGCAGAAGAUGGAUUUCAAUUUAGGUCGGAGAGCUUACCUUCAUACCAUCCUUCAACUGUCGAUGAGGAGCACCCACUAGAAGGAGAAGAAGAGCUUUCUUAAUAUCCUCAUGCCCAAAAAUUUCAGGAGCCAAGGAACGAGACAACUUGUUAUAUAUAUCUCCAUCCUCAGCUAACCUUGCAAUCUGCUCUUCCUCAUCUCCUCUAAGUUCAUAACUGCAUCCGAAAACAUAUUAAUCAUAUAUUCAUCACUAAGAAAUUAAGCAAGUAUAGAAACCUUAUCUUUUCUAUCUCAACAGUGAACACAUAAUUCUUUGUGAGAAAAUGGUUAUGCAUAAAUCAAAUUUACUAGUGGUGCCCAAACAUUCCAAAUAGGAAACUAGAAAAGAUUUAGAUUUGAUGUGAAGUAGUCUGAACCUAUUCCAAGCACAAUAUUUCAAGAACGCUCAAAGAAAAAAUAAUAAAUAAAUACAUUAAAUUAUAUUAUGUUUCAAAUUUCACUUCUUUUAGAAAUGAUUUGGAUUUAAGCUCAAUCUGGAAUCAAGUUCCUCAAUUUGCUAAAACUUAAAAGCAGACUCCGAUUCUUCAUGGAAAAGGUGAUGCAUUGCAUUAGUUAUGUUUGUCCAGUUGCUAGUAGAACACAGAAUCCAUAUCAAGAAGCACUACUAGCAGAACAUGAAGACAAAAGAAUUACAGUAAAGGGAAAAAGUAACAAUAGCUUACUCUUCAUAUUUUUUCUUGAAAUGGCUAACAGACAUUGCUUCCAAGUACGUAUCUGCAAUUAACCCAGCUCGCAUAGCUCUAAAUCCUGUGUAAGGCAUAGGUAGAAAAAUGCCUGACAGUUCAACAACGUCACCAGGAGAUACCUGCAAUUUUUAGAAAAGCAGCAGCAUAUGUUACACUUAAGUAGGUAGUGAAAGCUUUAGAGGAACCCUUUUAAGAAGAUGUUCACUGGAGCUUUAAGUUUGUUGGGAUCAUUUGAUCUCACCUUCUAACUCAAUCUAGAAAGCAGUUUAAUGUCCUUGACAUUUACUCCACACUAGACAAACUCCUUUCAAAAACACUAAGGAAAAACAUAAAUAAACAAAAAAUAUCACCAACCUUCCUUGUAAGUUCUCCUCUGAAGUGCACAGUCAUUGAUCGCGGAAUGUGACCUUUGGGUACAUGUUCAGCCAACUCUUGAAUUUUGGCCUGAAUCAAUGUCAGAAAUGUAAAACAAUUGUGCUGCAGAUUUGAUAUUGUAAUCAAGAUUUAAUGCAAAAGACAAACCUCUUGAAACUUUAAAAACUUUGAUGCCCGAAGUUGAAGGAUGAGGUUCCCUUUUGCUUUAUUUACAGUGCAGCGUUUGGAUGGGCAUUCAAACAGAGGCAUGAAUACUCUUGCAGUUACUUCCUAUUCAUCAAGUGCAUUAAGAUAGGCGCAUUAGAUCUGAAACAGUGUAGCUUUGCCAUGCUACUUAACAUUGUUGCAAUUUAAUUUAACGCUAGCAUUGUGGCUCUCGUACUGCAUUUAGCAAGUCAAAAAUAAAGAGUUAAGUUUUUAAGACAAGCACAACAAAAGUUCAUACCUGAUAGAUUUCAAAUCCACAUUCUUCACAUGUAUAUACAGCCACCUGCAUCAGUGGUUUGACGUCCGAACAACGUGUCACAAUACCAGAUAUCCUGACAAGCUGACCAAUGUAUGAAGCCUUGACCUCCCUAAUUGUAAAGGGCCGACCUUUUGAGGAUGCUUUGACAUACACUUCACUGGAUUCAACAAAGACAAACAGUUAGGCGGUUAACCCAUUCAGAAUUUCCACUUUCUGUCUUUACUUAGGAAUUAAGUUACAAGGCCAGAUCAUAUAGGGACAUUCUAUUUUCACCUGGGAACUUGACUGCCUGGUAUAUUAACACAAACAAAUUAUCACACAUAUCAUCAUGUUGUUUUGAGAUUAACUAAAUAAGUCCAUCUAAUUCAUAUCAUACAGUUAACAAAAGCACUCCUAAUUAUGCUGAAAGAGAGAACAUAAGAUAUUCUUACUACUUAUUAGGUAAGCUGAUUUAUUGGAGAAAGUAGUACCAAGAAGAUACACAAAUAUAAAGUCCAGCAGAGAGACCAAAAAAUAUAUAGGCAAAUUAAUUCAUAAAGUUGGAUUCUUGAGGAUAAUAUAAUGCUUCUUACUAGAACCGCUUGAUCUCCGGGGGCAUCUUUUGUUUUGGAUCAGAACCAUCAGUGUUCUCGGUUACUUCCUCUGAUCGCUGAGUCAUCAAAAUAUCAUGAUCAUCAUCUGGAAGAGCUUCCGUUGGCUCUGGCAUGAGCUCAUCAAUCGCACUAGCUAAUAUUGUGAUAUAUCGUUUAGUGUUCUCAGCAAUUCUUCGAAGAAACUCCUCAUCCAAGUCCUUGUACUGAAAGAGAAUUUCAAAAUCAUGUUAAGAGCAAAAAAACUUCAAACGAAAAACACCACAUAGAGAACAACCAAUCCAUAAAAAGUACAGUAAUUCAGAGGGAAGUAGUGGUACUUACGUCCGCUAAGUCUUCGAGCUCAAUCUCAAUAGCCUUGGUUUUACGAUUAGCAACAUCUUGCUAAGUAAAAGUUAAAACAGAAAACAAUUAGCAAAAAAAUAAGAACAUUUCUUAAACGAAUAUAUUCACUAAAACAGCGUAAAGGAGUUUUUCAACUUGAAAAUCAACAGAAAAACUGGAAAAUGAGAGGAACUUACGAGAAUGUUCAUGUAUUUGGCUUCACCAUUAGAAUCAGCGAAGUUCGACAGAAAAUCUUUUGCUAGAUCUGUAAAAUGAGAGACAAAUUAUUGACAGCAUAAGAUGAUUAAAUCAAAAGAAAAGGUGAAUCCAGAAUUUGAAACCACUUGAUGCAAUCGAAAACCGUUACCUUUGUCGCGGUUGAAGUCAAGAUCAUUCAUGGUGUUUGAAUGGAGGCAGAGAGAAUCGAGAGGAAGCUUGUGAGAAUGAGGGUUUGGGGGGAAAUUGAUACUAAAACACAAGCAAUUUGGCGGCAAAAUAGUGAAGGUGUUUUGGCGGGAAAAAACUGGGCUAGGUUAUGUUCGCCUGCGUUACGGGUGUACGUCCACGGUCCACACCGGACCCGGAAAAACAAAAAUGAAUCAGCAAAAAAGUUGCUGCUGAUUAAAUUAAAAAAAUAUCGACUCAUUGAUAAGACGGAACCAAUCAAUAUGAAAUAUAAUUAGGUGUAGUAGGUAGUAGAAUUGAUAAUUUGAAGUCACAUUUUAAUUUUAAAAAAAAUUAGAUUCUUUAAAUCUUAUAAUAUUUAAUAUAUAGUUUAAUUUCUAUAAAAGGAGAUAUGACAUUACUGCUAAAAUAAAAAAGUUUUAGAAUUAAAACUUACUAAUAUUAAUUGCAUUUUCUUGAAUCAAAUCAAACUAUAAAGAUAAUAACUAGAAUGAAUUAAAACAAGGCUAAAAUCUACUAACUUAUACUACCAAAUUAAUUAUUCCAUUUCUCCUGCAUUUCAAGUGUUAUGCAUGACGGUCAUCAAUUUGAACGAUUUCGUUAUAGGAGGAACUCAUUGUUAAAUUAUUUCAUCAAUUCCUUUUUAGUUGUAAUUUUAAACGUCUAUAUAGUAUUCAAGAAAAAAUUAAGUAGGAGUAUAGUUUGACUAAUAUAUUUCUUAUUAAUUCUUUAAUAUUUAUUUAUUUAUGUCCCUCUUAAUUCUAAAAUAAUUAAUGUUAAGGAUAGAGUUGAAAAAUAAUAAUUAAUCCUCUCUUAAGUCUUUGAUUGUUUAAAUUAAUAGUAACUAUUUUGGAACAAAUAUUUGUAUACACAAUAACUAAAAAAAAUGGAGGAAGUAUAACACAAAUAUUGCUUUAAAUGACAUUAUUAUUAUUAUUAUUAUUUGAAGAGUCAAAUAACUUUUUUAUAUAUAUUUUGGUCUAAUUCAUAAUUACAUAAAAAGUGAUUGAGAAAUUGAUGUCUGGAUUAAGACAAAAUUAGAAAGUCUUUAACGAAUCCUAAGCCUUUUAUUCUUUCUUUUUUUGUUUUUCGCCCGACGUGUCUGGAGCCCAUAUUGGAGCCCCAAUAAAAUCCAGAUCACAGAAAUGGCUCCCCUAAUAAGAUUUUUCCAUCACUGCACCACACUUAUGUUGGAUUUUUCAUUCAUUUUGAAACAAAGCAAUCAUAAAUUAGACUAAUUUUAGCUCAUGCCCUAUAGGAGUGUGCAAAAGUCUAAUAAAAAAAAUGUUAUUGGGUUAAUGAUUUUUAAUAGUUUUUUAUAUAAAAAAAAUAUUGAUUUAUUGCUUCGAUAUUAGUUUUUUAUUAUUGAGUUAUUGAGUAAAUUGAUAACCCAAUAAGAUAAUAGUAAUUUACUACUUUAUCCUUACACAAAUAUUAAAUAUUAUAUCAAUACCUUAUUGAUUACUAUCUUUGUCAUUUUGCCUUCAAUUAACAUUAUUGUCCUAGUUCUUUUAUUUGAGUUGCACUUGUAUAGUUUUUUUUUUCCUUUUAAAUGUUAGUAUUGUUUUUGUUUUAUGAGCAUUCCAUAAAGUUACAUUAUUGGAGAAGUCAUAUAAUUAUUUCAUGAGUAUUUUCUUAUUUGUUAAACCGAAAAUCAAUUAAAAACAUCUUAUUAAUUUUGUUAUUAGUUUAGUUUAUUAAAAAAAUCAAAAACCAAUAAACCAAACCAAUAAUACAUAACAUCAAACUAGACAGACCGAUGCACAUCCUAAUACCCCUGAGUUCAUUUUUUUUUUCUUCAUGUUUUACCUUUAAUAUUAAUUACUAAUUUCCAAAUUGUUUCUCAAAACCUUACACUAAUCAUUAUUUCUUAAGCGGUUUGAAAAUCCAAAGUUUUUAAUAACAAAAUAUAUUAAACAGUAAUUUGAUGACCAGAAUUGGUAAUGUUGACAAUGAAAGUAAAUCUUAGAAGUUAAUUUGGGGGUUUAGGGAAUAAAAAAUAAACAAAUGAUCCAUUGAUCAUAAUAAAAUGAGGUAAAUAAAAUGAAUUGACAAAUUACAAAAUCCAGUGUACCCCUUCUUUCAUUUGGAAAAUGCUGCCCCUUAAUGAACUAGUGAUCCAUGAAUUCAGUUGCAAUGUAAUUGGUCGUGAAACCAGGAGAGCUGCUUGGCAAUGCUUCCAUUCUCUAUCAAAGUGAUGCAUAUGCUAUGGACCUAUGGUGAAUGCUUAUCUAUAGAGGAUUCAAUUAGUUUAACUGAAUCCACUAAAUUCAAGUCGAAUCACUUAUACAUAUGUAAAAAGAAAAAGAAAAUAAAAAAUGUGAACAUAUAACAUGUCACAUCCAUUCUGAACUCGAUGACUCUAAAUCUUGAAAUCAUCUCUGCCCAGAAAGGCUUUAAAGCAAGUUUUUUCUUCUAAUAUGUACCUAGCAUUGAGUGUUAUGCUUUACCUAUUAAAAAAAAUGCAUUGGGUGUUAUAUUUUCUGAUUACUUCCAGCUCAGAGUCGCAGUAGCACGAUGCAUUUGAGCUCCCAGCCUCCCAGAUUAUUAUGAAGUAGAGCUCUGGUCCGAAUUCUUUGCCAACUUUGCUUGGGUAAGCCUGUCCAAGAUGGCUGGUUCCAGAGGGAUGGGAUCAAGACAACGUUCAGCAGCAGCAACAAUCACCUGUUCAGCAAGAAACACUCUCUCACACAUUUUGCUAGAUAAUAACCGUUGAAGCAUUCAACUUUCAGUAUGUGCAGUGAAGACCAACUUAAUGAUUUCUACUACAAAGUCAAAUCUAUUAGGAAGAGGGAGAAAAGAGGUGGGGAAGAGUUUAGGGAGGAAACAACUGAUCGAUAGCAACUAAACAUAGAUAAUACAGAACCUUUCAGGACUGUUUGAAGGUGGUCAUUAAGAAGAAAAUAUAGGAAAAAGCCCAUUAAAAGAGUAGCUGUUAAGUAUAAUAGCUGUGGAGAUUCUGUCAUUACCUCAUCAAGCAAAAAAUCAACAGCUGCUUCAUCUUCAGCAGUAUCUUUAAGAGUGGUCUUAAGAAAGUGAAUGUCCAACUGAAUUUGUUGAAAUCCACUCCGAUUAAAAGUCUGAAGUCGGACAAAUUCUUGUAAACUCUUCAAGAAAAGUUUUAUAAUCGUAGUUAUGACUGAUUCCUGCACAGUAAAUAAUUCUUAUUCCACUGUUCUCCAAAAUUAGUGCAGGUAGUUGAGUUACAAGCACUAGAAUCAAACCUGUGUGUGUUCAACUUUAGUAAAUAUUUCCAUCUUCUGCUUAAACAAUUUUGCUAAAUGGGACUCAAGAAGCUGACUCCUAGCCUUUUGGGUAUUUGAUCGUACCAGCCUAUCAUCUCUCAACGGAUUACUACGAGAAGAAGUGGUACUCCCAUUGCUGUCUGUGCGUCGAUGCUUAGGCUGUAGUCCUUCAGGCAAUAUUUGCUUCACUUCAUUAAGGAUUGUAUCCAGCUGAAUUAAUGACAUCAAACAGAAAAAGUUAAAUUUUUCUACUGAACUAGUCAUAUUAACUAUUAUAGGAGAAGAAACAAUAGUGUAUAUCAUAUGAAGUCAAAAGGUGCCAUUUUUCUCCCUCUCGGUGCUUCAAUUUCCUAUUACAAAAACCUCAUACUGGAAAGAGGAAGAGAAAAUGAGAACUGCAAAAUUUACCUCUUGAAGAAGCAGAUCAACGAACAUAUGAACUUCCCUGGGCUCUUUAUGCUAUACAAAGAAGGACAGAAAUUAGCACAAGCAAAUCAUCUUGAUGCUUACAAGUGAUUAGUGUUAGCUGACCAUGUCUGAUUACCUUAACCCAAUUUGGGGUUGUAAACCUCUUCUUCAACACAAUCAAGAUCUUCUGAGUUUUCAAGCUUAUAUACUGAAACAGGAGAUCGAAAUAGAGUUAAAACUCAGUAAUUUGAUUAAACUCUAAUUAUUAGCUGUCUACCAAGGAAGUACAUAAUAACAAAAAGUAUCAUAAGCUUCAUUUGUUGGUAUGGACAACAAAAUUCAUAAAGAACAAACUAGCACCACAUACUCAAUCAUUCAGAUCCUCCUAAUAUUCACAAGAAAAAUGGAGAAUAGCAAUUUAACCUCGGACAUGUAUGUUUUAAUGUACUUCAACAACAUCCAUAAUUAGUUAGAUCCAAUUUCUUAUUUACUCAUUAAUGCAAAUGUUGUGUUCUCAAUGGUAAAAAGAUCAAGUUCAAUGUUCAAUCACACCCCAGAAAUAACAAAAUCUUUAGCUUGAGUGACGAGAGUUCAUCAUGCUUGGCAAAAAGAUAAUAUGAAAUUCAAGGAAGUUAACAAACCUACAACAAGCAUAAAUGCAAGCCAGCCAGAAAUUCAUCAUAAAUCCCAUAUAACCAAGCAUCAAGAGAACUAGAGAAGUAUGCUCUUUAACCAUAUAAAGACAACAAAUGGGUUCUUAACAACCUACCUGAAUAAAUGAACAAUGGCAUUUAGCAGUUCAUGAAAGGUUUCCAUUUUUUUCAAGAAAUGCCAUGGUUUAUGUAUUCAGAGACCAAAAACAACGAAAUCAGUAAAUUAACUGAAUUAAAAGAGAGGCAGCAUGAGCAAACAAGUGGAACUGUAUUGAUGGACAAAUAAGUAGAAUGCUGGUCAUAAAAAAUAAUUAUUUGUAUAUUAAAAGAUACUGCAGAUCUUGGUUUAAUUGAAUACUAUUCAUAAUUCUUUUUAUUUGUCAUAAACUUGGAACUAUUUUUUUUCAUUCCUGAAGAGGUGCAUACAUGCAUCAAAAACAAGAUCAAUGUAGUGGUAUGUUAGACCAACUUUGUUAUAUGGGGCGGAGUGUUGGCCAGUCAAGAGCUCCUAUGUUCAAAAGAUGCAAAUUGUGGAGAUGAGGAUGCUGUAAUGGAUAUGUGGCAUACUAGGAGAGAUAGAAUUAAGAAUGAGGAUAUCCGAGACAAGGUGGUAGUGACCUCUAUGGUGGACAAUAUGAGGGAAGAGAAACUGAGAUGGUUUAGACAUGUAAAGAGGAGAUGCCCCAGUAAGGAGGUGUCAGGGAUUGGAUAUAGUGGGUAUGAGGAGAGGUAGAGGUAGGCUGAAGAAGUACUGGGAAGAGGUGAUUAGAUCGGACAUGGCGCAACUUCAACUCACCGAGGACAUGAUCUUAGAUAGGUGCGUAUGAAGGUCGUGGAUUAGGGUAGAAGGUUAGUAGGUAGUUGUGCUUUGACUAUAUUUUCGACAGAUUUAGGCUUGGUGGGAGCCUGGGAGCACCGGGUGUGUUGUAGUAUUAGUCUUAUACAUAUAUUUUCUUUCCAAUUAUCACAUUUUCCUGUUGUUAUUACAGUUUCUUUUCUUUGUAGGCUUUGUUCUGCCUUCCUUAUUGAUUGACAUGUUUCACUGUCGUAUUCCCUUUUCGUAUAUACUUUGUCUUGCUGCACUUGAGUGAGUCUUUCGAAAACAGCCUCUCUACCUUCCCGAGGUCAAAUUAAGGUUUGCGUACACUUUACCCUCCCUAGAUCCCACCUACUGGAUUACACCGAGUAUGUUGCUGUUAUUGUUGUUGAAUGUAGUGGUAUGUUAAAGAGUCCCUUCAAUUGAUAAUACAGAAAAUCGAUAUAUGGAAUUCAAAGGGAUCAAAUAGAAAAUAGAACUUUGAUCAUAGAACUAUAAUGAAAUAUAUGACCACAAUAACAACUGGAGGUAGACCUAUAUACUGUAAAUGUUGUUUGGUUCUUUAUUUCAGAAUCUGCAAGUUUCUAAAUUAUCUAUGAAUUUAAUUCUUUGUUUAAAUCACAAAAAGUCUAAUGAAUCGUGCACGUUGACUUUGUGAUUGCAAUCAAUUUCACGCUUUUAACAAGGAAAUAAAUGUGAAAUCGAUUGCAAUCAUAAAACAACAUGCUUGAAAAAAUUACAGGUUUUCACUGCUGUCUUUGUAGAGUACCGAAAUACAUAGUAUUCUGAUUUUUAGAACAUUAGCAUUGGAAAAUGGUAACAUAUAUGUGAAUCUUAUACCCGUAACCUUUUACAGUCCCAAUCAUUUAUCUUUUCAAGGUCAUUUACUCCAACGUUAGCAUUACAGAUUAAAGCAGUAUACAGCAGCCAUUUGGCACUUAAAUUGAGAGGGAUGCAUUGAGAAGAUAGACAGAUUUGUUCUAAUGUUUGAGAGACAUAUUUAAGACGAAUUUCUUUUGUUUCUUCUUUUAUGAUUGGAGGAGUUUAUAAAUUUCAUCAGUUCUAUGUGUGGUUGGAGUUAGAGAAGGAAGAACAAACUUCUAGUAGUAUAAUUAGAAUUGUAUAAAUCUUGCUGUCCUCUAUGAAAUUAUAAUAAUUAGCAUGCACAAAUUUGCUUUUAGUUACAUAUAUUAUCCAUUUGAUUAAUCAUGAUUCAUGAACAUGAUGGGUAGAAGUUCAAUUGAAAACAGAAUAUUAAAGUUGUAACUUAAUUUCUCCAAUGGACUAGGUAAACAUGAAUAAUAAAUGGAAAUGACUGAAAAAGUUUGUAUGCUAGACAGAAAAUUCAUUCCCUGAAAAAAGAGAGUUAUAUAUGCAAUACAGGAAAAGAUAAUUUUUUUUGCAACUCAUCAAAUGAAAUAAGAAUAGUGGUUUUGGAAGUUCUCAGAAUAACAAAAGAAAUGUUGUUUUUGCAGUAUGCAAACCUCUCAGUCACAAUAAAAGAUCUCUGGCAGUAUACUUUUGCAAUGACACAAGUUUAUCAUUGGAGCCUAAAUGGAUAUCAAAGCUACUUAACACAAUGAAAACAAGGAAGAUUAGAUGUGAUAAACUUUCGCUUUAGAGAAAGUAAACUAAUCCAUAAACCUCUAGAAAAAGCUAACCAGUAAAACAAAACAAGAUGUUUGUAGAAGUAAGAAAAUGUUCAGAAUCUAGAUACAUACAUGCUGCAAGAGUUCUUCACCAGCUGAUCGAAAGAUGCGACAAAUUUCUGCAGGAAUAAAAGCUGAACUAUUUUCGUAGCCCCGAGUCCCACCACCAGAGAAAGAAGAUAUUUCCUGAAAUUUUAAAAAAAUAAUCAAAAAGCCCAUUUAGAUGGCCCAGAUCAGGUAACUAUACUGAAGUACCAAUCAGACAACUCCUUGCCUCAGUGAUUCUGGUAAUGCCAUUUUGCUCUAUGAAAACAGAGAGUUGAGCCAGCAAAAGAACAAGCUCGGGAAGUACUUUAUCACCCUGCAUUCCUUCCCCAAAGGUUAGAUCCUGAUUAGCAGAAUAUUUCUUUCCCGAAAGCAUGAAAAAGUGAUCAUUCAGCUUCCUGAAGAAGUCCUGAAAUCUUUCUUGCACCCACUCAAUGAUCAAGUCUGUCAAACUUGAUAGCACUUCCAAGUUUUCAUCAAGAAGUCGACGGGAAUCCUGUUAUACAAAAAAUCAAACUAAAAGUACAAUAAAGAACACAAUUGACUGGACAACUGGAGACUGUACUCUGAUAGAGGAUAUGCUGAAAUCAUGAAGCUGUGGUGCUAGUUUUACCCCUUGCUAUUUCCUGAUUUAUUGCCUUUUCAUUUUUUUUUAUUUUUGGGAGGUAAGCUCAGCGAUUUUCGCAACAAUUUUGUUCAGUUGAGAAACCUUUCUGAUAUAUUUGGCAUAAUAAAAACUGUUUGUCAGUAACUUGAGAUCAAACCUGAGUGGUGAGUUAUAAUAGCAAAGACCAAAGUAGGUCAGUAGGUAUAGCAGCAGAAAAAUGUUAAUGCACACUAUUUCAUAUAGUAACAUAACUUCAUCAGCGAAGACUUUGGUUCACAGUAAUCCACUAUUCCAGAAGCUCUAGAUGCAUGUCAAAAGAACAAUACGCGUGAAAAUGAUGUUACUGAUGCAUUUUUCUUACCUAUCCCUAUUCCUUUGUAAAACAAAAUAGUUUAGUUCCCAAGGGGUUCGAAAACUAUUUAGCUCCAUUCAUAGGUUUGGCAAAAAUCCUUUUAAAUCCUUUUAUUUCACAUGUUUCUGCAAUUCUUACUUAAAUCAUUCCCUGGGUAGAAUCAAAUAGAGAAAGAAAAACAAUGUGCGGGCCAGGGUACGGAAAUGAUUAACAGAUACCAACUACUUUAACCAUUCCCAGUGAAAACUAAAAAGACAGAUUUGAUGACCUUUGAACCCAUAGAUGAAUUAUUUGAUACAAGGAUUCAAGAGAACUUCUUAAUUUAUAUAAAGCCACAGAACUACUUUUACCAGCAAGGCGCCCAUGCUGCCUUGUACUAAUGCCUUUUUGCUGGUCUCAAGGGCAGACUGCAAAGGAUACUCUUCUUCAAUUACCCCCUUUUGAUUAUCAUGGACUUUUACAAGAGCAUCUGCCAAUUUAAAAUAAUGUAAAGCAACAGUCAAACUCAGAAUAGUUUAGAGCUAAUGUAAAAUAAGUGGUUUGAGAAAGAAGGUCAUUUUCUAAGAAGGAACUAAUUACUCUUAAGGCUAGUUAAGAUUUUGGAAUAUAACAAAUAAUAUCAUAAAUGAGUAGUUACACAUUGUGCAUUAAGCUCCAAAUGCCAGAUGAUACAACAUAUAAGAUAAGACCUCAGACUUCUGAAGAACCUCACCAAUUUUUAUCCUCUGAAAGACAAUUAUCUUCUUAGAGCCUGUUUGGAUUGACUCAAAAGUUGGUCAAACCUACUUGUAAGUCAUUUUUAGCUUUUGGACGUGUUUGGCAAGGUUAAAAAUAACUUAAAAUAAGUUUAAAAUGACUUUAAAAAAGUUAAAAAUCAAAAGUAGGUCUCCCCCUACUUUUUGUUUUUUGACUUAAAAAGUCAUUUAAGUUUGACUUUUUGUUUUUUUGACUUAGAAGCUACUUUUUUUAAGUCAAUCCAAACGGACUCUUAAUAACCUUUGCUAAGUCACAUUACUCACAUCAUGAUUAACGAAAUCCAAUAUAGGACAGAGUAGAUAUCCAAGAAGAAAUAACAAGGAGGUUCUGUGUUUACUUUGUGCAAAUUAGUAGUGUUGUGUUUUGCACACCCUUCUUAGAGAUUCCUUUAAGUCUCGUAAACCUAAAACCUAACAAAUUUAAUUUGAGUCAAAUUUAGACAUUUUUAUCCGACAGUACCAGUUUAACAAGACAUACCUGAAAUAUCUAGCAAAAGAUGACUGAAUGUGCAAGCAACAUAUUGUUUGAUAGCAUCAUGAGCAGCCUGAAACCACACAGGAAUUUUCAGAUAUUCCAAACCCACCACUGUCACAAUCGAAUAACAUGAAUCCAUAAAGUGGUAAUUGUCUAUUAUAAGAAACCUCAAACGUAAAAUCACGUAGUCCAGCCUCUGGCAGCACUUCAUCCAUCAGAAGCACAUCUGUCCAAAUUACUCCUGAGGAAAAAAUGCGCGUAAAAGAAUAAUUUAUAAUCAGACCAAAAUUAGCAUUCAUGAAAUGCAAAAGUGGCGUCGACAGAGAGCCAGAGUUAUUAAAGGCGAAAAGGUAGAAAAGCAAAGGUGUAGUAAGUUUUGAGUGCAAAGCUUGAAUAAAGAACAAUCAGUGAAUAAAGGUCCAGAUUCCAGAAUAAAGAAAAACUAAUAGAUAUAUAUGU